CCAAGCAAUGCUGUUGCAGCAUAGAGAGUGCUACUGAGAGCUGAAGCAUAUAGAAGAAAUGUUAAGAUCAUGAUUAUUUGUGUUACUGUCAUCCAAAAUGUCCGAGGAACCAUUUUUGACCUGCAAUCGCGCAUAACAUUAAGCUGUCAGAUAACGGUGUUUCAAAAACUAAAAUAAGGAAGCUGUCACAAACAUUCCAUAUUGCAUGACAAGAAAUCAAGUUGGCAGGUGCAUACGGGUUUUGAAAGAAAUAAGAAAAAGAGCUAAGAGUAAUUAAUUUAACUAUUAGAUUAAAAAGAGAGAAUAUCCGAGGGAGACAAUUUUGAAUUGUUCUGAAAUUCAACACUCUUGUCCCUAUACGUUCACGGCUCUAUAUAUACAACAGCCAUCAUAGAACCAUCGAAAAAAUUUUAGAAGCAUAUUUGGCAAAGCUUAAAUUAUAAUUUACUCUAGUCAAAGCACUACAAAAAAAAAAAAAAAAAAAAAAAAAAGGCACUUGUAUAGGAAACAAAUACAAGUUAGUCGAGAAUCAAGAUUGAAUUUGUGGGUGUAGAGCAAGAACAAAUCUUUAAACGAGAGUUUAAGUUGCAACUCUUGUAAUCAAUCUUCAAAUCUUCAUAACAAAAUUAAAUUUGCAUCAAUAUUUAUUUUUCUUCAAUAAAUCACACAGCAUAUAUGAACUACCAUGUUCACUACAAAUUUAUUAGAAUCUUUAAGGGUUCUGUUUUACAAUGGAAAGCAAGUUUUAGUUGCAUAAUAUGCAAAGCAUAUCAAAUUUGACGAGAUAGAAACUAAAACAUGCUUUUGCUCAAAAAAAAUAACACAAAAUCAGAAAAAGAAAUAAUUUUUAAAUGUGUCGAGGGUAAAAAUCAUAUAUAUGGAAUCCCAAGUCUUAAUAGAGGGGGAAAAGCAGAACUCACAACCCAAUAAGGCCGGGACUGAACAGUUUGGCUAACAGAAAGAUAAAGAACACCAGAGCCCAAGAAAGAGGGAAAAGCACCCACAAGAAGAACAGCCCGUGGUGGGAAUUUGUUGCAGGCUAUGACUGGAGGAAUCUCAACAUUCUCCCCAAUAUCAUUUGCCACUCCAAGAAAGGUCAACUGUUUCUGGUUGAAGCCGAGAACUGAUUUCAGUGAAGGACAGUAUAAAGGAAAAAGUACGGGCACUCCCUGCUGCUAUUUCUGCCCAAACUGCAGCGCCUAAGCCCACCCAUGGUGGCUCCAUUCUUCUGGGAAGAUUCUUUGAUAGAAGUUCUUGUUGUUACUUAGCUCAACACUGAAAUAUAUACAUAAACAGAAAAAAGAGUGCGCGUGAGACGGAUUGUUGGGACUGGAAAUUUUUGUGGGAGACGGGCAGUAAUUGUGUAUUGUCUGUAAUAAAGACCAAACCACGUACCAUCAUGCACUUGGAAAAAAAAAUAGGGAUGCAUGACCAACAAUGGAAGGAAACAGGAAAAUAAAUGUUCGGGUAACUUAAUAAAAAUAACACGUGAAAAUUGGAAUGGAAAUUUACGUUACUGUGUAAUCUGAAUUGUUGCACUAUAAUAUAUGAGUUACAGUGAUAUUCAUAAAUAGCCAAACGCCUGGAAAGAUCUGAGAACGUGUAUAAACCACUAAGGAAUAUGAACAUCUAUUAUUGCCUAAUUAAUCUCCUGUUACACAAAUUAAUCACUAUAGAAAUUAAAUUAAAUCAUUAAUACGUACUUAGUAACCGCCAAGUUAAUGAGACCCCCAUUGAUUCACACAUUAAUUCAAGAAUAAACUUUAAUGAAAAUAACUGAUAUUCAAGCUAUAUAAUCCCUUUUCUAUGUCCUAAAUUCUCAUCAAUCAAAAAUCUAUCUUUUACUUACAAAUUGGGAUGACUUCCAAAUUUGUUCUCUUGGUUCUUCUUGGGGUUCUUAUUUGCACCACAACUGCGAGAAAGCUAGUUGACUCAGAUGAUUCUGUCGAUGAUAAAAAAGUCUUCUUUGAUCACUGGAAUUUAGGAGGUGGCGGCGGCGGCGGCGGCGGCGGUGGAGGUGGAGGACUAGAGGGAGGUUCUGGUUUCGGAGAAGGAUUUGGUGGUGGGUUUGGAGGUGGUGCUCAAGGAGGAGGAGGAGGUUUUGGUGGUGGAGGCGGUGGUGGAGGCGGAUUGGGUGGAGGAUCUGGGAGUGGAUUUGGAUUUGGUGCUGGCUAUGGCGGUGGAAUGGGAGGUGGAGAAAUCCCUUAAGUAAUUAAAGAAGUUUCAGUCCCAUACAUUUCCAAUUCAUACCUAGUGAUCAUUUUCAUGGCUCAAUUAUAAAGUACUAGAUUGCAUAUGUUUAAUGUAAGCUUCAUUUUGUUGAUUAAUAUAUUUGAAUAAAUUUGAUCAGAAUGGUGUUGUAGCGUAAGUCCUUUUGGACAGGAAAAGUCCAAAACGCCGAUAAAAUGUACGUGUACACUUGUCGAAAUGAUACACAGGCAAGAAUAUCGCUUCAAUUGAUCUUAAUAAAAAAAAAUUCACUCCGCAAAAUCAAUCAUUAUUAUCAAGUGCUGAGUAUUUUCAGCCAAAUGAUUUAACAUUCACGUAGGCUUGUGAUGUUUAGUUUAUGGAUUAAGAUAACUGAGUGAUGAAAAUAAAUUUGUAGUUCAACUAUUUGACUGAGACAAAUUAAUGUUUGGUAAUUGAGAGUAACCCACACAUAAAUUUUACUGAUUUGCAAUAUCCAUUCUAAGUAAAUAGGAAUAGACGUUUCUAAUAAAUUUCAAAAAUGUAUUUUUGAAUAACAUGUUAAUUAAAUAUACAUUUUUAUCUACAUAUUUAGUAGGACCCAUAGCUUGUUCACUUAUUAUCGACACACUCUAAAAUUCACGGCUUACUUGAAAAAAUUUAGCUUUGCGAUGCAUGCACGUAAAGUAUUCAGAGAAGAUUUUAAGAGAAGGUUGAAAGAUUAUUUAAGUAGCCUUUUUGUAAUUUACUUUGACGAUUUUGUAUAGACGUCCCAUAUAUUAUCAAUUGUAAAAUAUUUGUCAAUUUUUCAAAAGGUGCUCAAAAAUGUCCUUUUGGGUGUUAAAUGUCCAAAUUACCCUUGUAGAUACCUUUUUGAGUACAUAUAUUGCUCAUUAAUACUAAUUAAUGCCAUGAUUUGAUGUUUAACUUAUGUAAGAAAAAUCUAUUAAUAUAUUUAAUAUAUAAUGGACAAUAGAAAUUUUAACCAAAAAAUAAAAAUAAAAAUUAUCUCAUAAUCUUUUCGUCAGGUGCUAACCAUAAAUAUCAAUGGUUCAAUUGUCAAACUAGAACGUGGAGAUUGAUAGUUAAAAUGUCGAACUCGACACUUAGUAAAUGUUAGGAAAUACAUUUGAACUAUUAGUCUCAUCGGUUUGACUGUUUGGUAUAAUUUAUUCGUAGGUGCCUCUUGAAUGAUUUUAAAAGUCCCAUAUAUAUAUUGUGCUGAAUGUUUAUUAUUGAUAUCUCACAUUUUUAGCUAUGAGUAAUAAUUUAAGAUUUAUUGUGUAGCAUGGAGGUGAGUUGGACACAAUCAGCCACAUGCUCGAACCCGUUCUAGGACGAAACAUGUAAAGUUUGAAUGUUGUUUAUGGCUUGAGGUUGUAUUUUGUAUAUUACAAUUAUGAUGUUCAUUGUUUAUGUCAUAUUGUCGUUUUCGUGUUAUUACCGUUGCAGCUUUUAUUAUGAUACAAAAAAACGUUCUACUUUUUACAAAAAAAAAGAUUUCAUUAAUUGCGAGUUGUUAAGUAGUAAAUGAAAUAAAAUAUCCGAACAUAACGAUUGAUCAAACACACAAUAUUAUGAUUAUAUAUUAACACGUGAUUUUCAUUAAAAUUAGAAAAUUUAAAUAUAACCGAUAACAUGAAUCAUUAUUUGCUUACGUCAAGCGUCAUCGACAUUUGAACUUUCACUCCCAUUGACUUCCUCCUCAUCGUCCAAGCUUAUGACAAUGAUCUUGUGUGGUGAAACAUUACAAUCAGAGGAACCAUGUAUUCCAAAAAUAUCAACUUUAUGGUUGAGUGAUUGAGAUAAUUGGCUAGAAACAUCAUCCAAAUUGGGAAAAAGGAAUUUAGUGAUAGUAUCAUUGAUCAUCCAUUAUAUUUACAAACAAUUCUUUAUAAAUGAUAUCAGGAUAGUUGACCUGCUACACAAUAAAAAUGUCUUUUCACAGAUGAACAUGAACUAAACAAACAUAAAAAUAAGUUGUUUGGUGUACACGUCAUGAUAUAACUUGGAAAUAAUAUGACAAAUUAUAAAUACAAAUGCAACACAUAGUUGUCCGAGUUAGUGAAGUCCUAUUGCAUACUAUCUUCCAUCUCUUUCGGACACCCUUAGUGUAAGGAGUUCGAAAUCCAUUAUAAAGGAAAUUUAAAAUUUCAUAAUUGUGGAAUUAUCACGUGUAUAUAUAAUCUAUAUUAAGUAAAAUGUAUAACUAUUAUGUUGAAAAAGAAGGUUAGUAUAGCUCUACUCCUCAAGGUUCUUUUUCAAGAAAUAUUUCAAUAAAUUCAUAUAGUAUAUGGAAUAAUUUGGACACCAAUACACGUGUUUUCUCAUAUAGUUCUACUUCAUCAAUAUCUAGUGCUAUAGAUGUUAGUGGUACAAAUUUUGAAAUUUCCUCUGAGUUAACUAGGUUUAUGUGCGUGGACGUUCGUUGUGUGUUAUAACGAAAGAAUUACAAGAAUUUAGUCUUCUAUCAUGGUGGAGAUAUAACAAAAGGCAAUAUCCAAUUGUAUCCAAAAUUGCAAGCAAUCUACUAACACAUCUGAUAUCUACAAUGGCAUCAGAGAUUGCAUUUAGUUUAGGUAGUUGAGUUUUAUCAAAUAGAAAAUCUAGACUAAAAGAAGAUAUAUUUGAAGUUUUAAUAUGCUUGAAGGAUCGUGAAUGUUCAAAAUUACGUAUUCAAGAACAAGUUGACAGUAUAAUGGCCAAAGAGUUAUAGGAGAUCCAAGCAUAAGAAUAUUGUAAGUUUUUAAAUUGAUUAAUUUUUAAAAAAAAAACGUAAACUUUAAAUUUAUUUGUUUCAAGAAAAAUUGUACACAAAAUAUUUUAUUCGUAUACAAUUUUAACUACACUUACGUUGGUUAUGGCAGAUCUCAAGCCCAAAAAGGAAAGAGGGUUGCAACUUUUAUUUAAUUUAUAAUUCGAAUAAAUUGCAUAAAUUUUAAAUUCUUGAAAAAAAUGUUAGAAUUGUCACGAAUUAAAAAAAAGAAAAAAGAAAAAAAAAGCAAGUUAGCUUGGCAAGGCCUUGAGCCAAAAGCUCGGGUCGAGUCUAGAUUUUUUGGCCGAGCAAAAUCUAGGCUCGGCUCAAGUCCAAAACAGCCCCAACCGUUUUUACUCGAGCCAAGCCCAAACUUCUAGUUUCGGUUCGGCUCAGCGCAUUGACAUUCAACUUUUAGUAUAAUUUUUUCAACUAGUCAAAUCAAAAAUUAAUAAAUGACAUCUAAGGUAUUUAAAAUUUGUAGAAGGGAAAAAAAUUUAAAACAUAUUUGUCAAAAUUAUUAAAAUGUGACAUUUUUAUAAAUGUCAAUCCAAAAAGUGACAUGGGUGCAAUUUUCUCUUUUACUUUUUGUAUGAAAAAUACUCUACUUUAUUAUUUACUUAUUAGCUCUAGUUAAUAAAUAAUAAAACGACAUUUCAAAUGUGAUAUCACUUGAAGUAUACUGUGUGACAUUUUUCUACUUGUUAAAAAGAGUUGAUUUAAUAAGUUGUCAAAAUUUUAAUCGACUGGCAGUUAAAAAGAAAAUCGAAGAGGGGGUAGCAAUAGCAAUGCAGAUGGAUGAUUUGUUUCCAAAUAUUCUUGAAGUUAUUUUAAAUGAUUCGGAGCAAUGGAUGUGAGGUUUUUUGAUAUCACUGAGAUAGAAAAGAAAAUAUAAUAGGAUUACAUUUCUUUGAGGUGGUACUCAAAUCUCCAAGAAUUGUAUCAACUGAGUUCUUAUAAAGAAAAAUGCUACUCAACCUUUGACACAAAGGUUAACACACCUCUCACGGUCGAGGUGUGGGUCCUGCGCGAAUAAAAUAAUGCCGAGCUCCCAUGUGUGUGUGAUGUGUCAACCCUUAUGUCAACCGAUGUGAUCAUGUAGCACAGCCCUCUUAUAAAACCCUUUUCUUCCAUUUACCCAUCAUAAAGUUGAAUUUUGAUUGAAACUCGAAUUAAAGAUGGGGUUUUGUUAUUUCUCUUUCUUUUUUUAUUAAAUUUGUUUGUAUUUAUUUAGUUUAUCUUUCAAACAAAGUUUUACCAUACAGAAUUUUUGGAAAAUUUACAAAAUACUCAUUAUAUUUAGGGCGUAUAUACAAUUUUAAUGUUAUAUUUUUGCAAAUUUACAUUUUAUGUACUGUGUUUUAGUUAUUGGUAACAAAAAACAUACUUGAUAAAUACGUUGUUAUUUAUCAUUUUUUUUUCCAUUAUACGCAACUUUCUUUUGCUAAUAUUUGAUUUAUUAGCUAUUUUAGAAGCUUUUUGCCGUCUGAUUCCAUCCAUUGAAAUUAAUCAUUUGUUGCAUCAAAUUGUCUAAAUCAAAGAUAAACCUACCAAAUAUUAGUAUUAACUCUGUUAGGUAUAGGUCUUAAUAAUUUCUCUCCUACCAUACACAAAUCCCAUUCUCUUUCUCACUCUCAAUACCCACAAAAUCCUAUCACUGCAUUAAUUCAGAAUCUCCCCCAAAUCUCAAUCUACGGCUUUUGAACUGCCACAUAUAGACCACCUCGAGAAAUUUCAACCUAUGUUCCCUGUGUGACCAAGACAAUACAUCAUAGUCUAUUGCCUAGUAGGCUGCUCAGUCGACUUGACGACUGCCCUACAAAAGCAAAAAUUGACCAAUUCACAAAGGAGCCUCUCCGAAUGUAGUCGAGUAGGCCCUUUGCUCGAUCGUUAGAUGGAGAUUUACUUUUAAAAUAUAUCUACGAUCAAUUUAAAAAUGUAGUUGAUCAUCAAAUUUUUUAUCAAAUUUUACGUUGUAAUUGAGGUUGAUCGAGAAGCUUUUUGUUCUACUAUCAUGUUGCGCCGAGGUCAACCACAAUUCUUUUUAUAAUUUCUUGGGUGUCAGAAUACGCCACUUUUAUAUUCUCUGCAUUUUAAUGAAUGGAUAAGGAUACGCAUCUAUUCAUACGUAACAACCUUCAUACCAUGUCAACAAGGUAGAGGAUUACAAGAGUUUGCUCUGAGUAUGUUUGGAGUGUUUUUAGUCCAUACUAUUUACAGUUCUGUUGUUGUUUGUAUUUGUAAAGAGAAUUAUUGAUUUGGGGAAAGUUGUUUGGGAUUACACGUUAAGAAAAUAAAGUUGUUUAGUAUUACAUAUUAAGGAAAUAUCUUUAUUGAUGUACUUACUAUUAAAAAUUGUAUAAUUUAUAUGGAUAUUAUUUUUUAGAAGAAAUUUUGUGAAAUGAACGAAAACAAAACAAAACUAUUUAUGUUUGAUUUCUUACCAUUUCAUCAUUGUCUACUAAAAUAAUUUAGCAAAUAAUAAUGGAUUAAAAAUCUUAAUAUGUCAUUCUAGUUGCUGUUUUUUACCAUUUUAGUAAAUUUAACUGUUUUGUUGAUCCAUUUCGAUAUGUUGGUGACCUUGAUGAAAGUAUUCCUUGCAGUUAGAACUGUGCUACAGAGCCCGAGUUUAAAUCCCGGGCUCCAAUCCAGGGCCGAGGUGUUCUGGACUUGGGGGGCCCGCCAUCAAAAUUGGGGGUAGAGGCUUUGCCACCUCUACCCGUGGAACGGAACCCGGGAUUAGCAUUUUCCCUACAAUUAAUCUAAUAUGUGCUAAAUGUAUACACGGUGUAUAAUAUAAUAUUCAAUUAGUUAUUUCUGAAUAGUCCUUUAAUUCUAUAAUCAUGUGCUAUUAUAUACUAAUCACAGUGAUGUUCAUACUUGCCAUCUCAAAAUGAUUACAGAAAAAUUUUGCUUGAGUGCAUUCAUUAGCAAAUAAGGAAUAUAGUAUUAAAAAUUUCCUAUGCUUUUGAUAAUUUAUCCAAGAUUAAAAAUCGGCCUUUAAAUAAUUUGAUAUGAUUUAAAUAUUACAUUUCCUCACAUACUAAUGUGUUAGAAUAGUUUAUUGAAGCUUAAUGUUAGCUUAUUGCUUAAAAAAAAUCGAAUUUUCAAAUUUAGUUAGAUGAGAACAUAUUUAAUACACGAUAUUGACCAAAGAAGAUUAAAAGUCAAAACGUAUAUUCUGAUCUACCUAUAAACUGACUUCAUGUGUAAAUUGACCUAAAUGGACUUUAUUUGAGUUCAUUAGGCUUGGGUUUCUCAGUAAAUUAUCACUUCUAAUUUAAGUGUAUUAAUUUUCGUUCAUCGUAAUAAUUUUCACAUUCACUCAAAUUUUCUAAAUUACGUAUGUUUUUCCUUUCUUUUACUUUUGAACUUCUUCAUGUCACCGUUUGUUGGUAAGUGUAUUAGAUUAAAUGUCACUCUACAUUUCUGCAUUUUUCAAUUUUCAUCUUCAUUAUUUUUACUAUUGGCCACAAAAUUCAUUUUCUCCGCUUCAUGAUCUUCAACAACUCUGUAACAUUGCCACUAGAUCAUUACACCUCAAAGUUUUUCCAACUCCGUCAUAACAACUCUUCCUAAAAAUUUCUUUUGUACAAGUCUGUACUUCUUUUACUUUUGUCUAGCUCAUAGGUAGGAGCGAAGUCAGAAAAUUUGUUCAGUGCGGGCAUAAUUUAACCCAUGUCAAUCAUUGAGUUUUGAUCAUGAAUUUAAUGAUGAUAAAACUAUAAAACAAAAUCAUGGGUUUGGACCAAAAAAUAAAACUCAUGUAAAUAAAACAUGUUUUUAUUCCACCUCCCCUGUUGCUAAUAAUUACAAAAAAAAGGGGUUUGAGCCUAAAAUUUCAGUUCUCAACAUGGCUCCGCCCCUGCUCACAGGCUUAAGUAUUGUUUGAUUUUUGCUUUUAAUGUUUUCAUGAGGUUACAGGAAGUUGAUAUGGAUAUAUUUAAAGAUUAUUUGGUUGAUUUGGAAAUGUUUACAGUUCUCUUCUUGUGUGUAUUUCUAGACCCGUACACAUUGGCGGAUCCAGCUUCCGGCAUGAACACGGGCUAAAAUAAAAAAAAAUUACACAAAAUUUUUUUUACAAAAUUCUUUUUUUUAAAGUGGAUUUGGGGCGGGCAGACGAACGAACGGACUGUAGCACUGACCUGCCCGUAUACUGAUUUCAGUUGAGACUAACCUUUGUUCAUGCGUAAAAUAACUCAGACCGAUUGAUUUAGGUUCUGUAGUGUUGGUCUUCCAGUUAAUCAUUGCUUUCACUUGUAAUUUAACAAUGUUCAUAUUUAUUCAAAUUUCUUAAAUAACAUACGUUUUCACAUUCAUACUUGCAGCUUUUAACCAUUUUGUAUCAUUGUUUGUUGAUGAAUGUAGUAGAGAUGAUCGAAAUGAAACACUUAUUAAACGUCACUAUGCAUGUUUCCAUCUUAAAACUUAGAUCUUCAUUAUCCCUACCGUUAGCCAUGGAACCCAUAUUAGCCGAUUCACAGUCAAUCAGAUCAUCCUUUAUAGUUACAACUCUCUGUUAAAAAAAAUACUAGCAUAUCAAAAAUGUUUGUGACCUUACGUAGAUUUCAUUUCAUCGAUAUACGAGGCAGCGACUUUAAUGUUCAUUUCAUCAAUACUUGUUAAAUUUAUUCAUGUUGUAAAUGUUACUAGAGCCUCAUGACUUUUCUCAAUCAAUUUUAUUUUACAUUGUGCUAAAUCUAGUAUUAUUAUUAUUAUUAUUAUUAUUAUUAUUAUUAUUAUUAUUUGGUAGAUUUUUUUAAUUAAAAAAAAUAUUUUUCAUUUUAUUUUAAUCAGUGGUAAAUUUAUUGUUCCGAUGGAUUCUCUGGAAACAUCUACCCCAUGAAGAGUCGGGUUGUUUUGAUUUUGACAGUAUUUCUCAAUGCACAAGUAAAUCAUAUAAUAUUGUCAUUCCCCAACAACAAAAUUGAAGAUAGAUAGAUAGGAUGAAUCAAGUUCAAAAUGUAAGUGUUGAUCAUCUUAAAAGGGUAAAUGAUCUUAUGUUAUCUCGAAAUAAUAAUUCUGGGGUUGGAAUCAAGUUCAAAAUGUAAGUGUUGAUCAUCUUAAAAGGGUAAAUGAUCUUAUGUUAUCUUGAAAUAAUAAUUCUGGGGUUGGCUAUAUACAUGAAUCUAUAAUACAUUCUCAUUUUGAGGGCUUCUAUUUCAAAUGAAGAAUGGAUUAAUGUUUUUGAUUCUGAACUUUAUGGAAGUUUUGACAUGUUGAAUAUACCAACUACUACAUAUGUAUUACUGACAUGAAACUACUGUAAGCAUUGAGGUGCAUGCAAAUUUUUUUGAGAAACUAAAGGCUUUUGUUGCUCUAAUGGAAAAGUGAAACUUUUUUAUUUCUGAUUCACUAUGGCUGGAUCUAAGUUAUAAAAAGUUUAAUGGUACCAUUCCAGUUGCCAGCAACACUACGUUGGGUUGGGACAUGCUACUUAAUGCUAGGCACUUCUAUGAAUUCUCUCUUAGAGUUAUAAAGCAUUUAGAAUUAUGUUUCUCCAUCAGUAUUGCUUUCUCCAUUCACAAGAAGUGAUUUUCAUUGUUCACAGCCAUUUGUGAAAUAAUCAACUUUCUGGAUCUAUCCCCAAUCAACUGUUCAGUUCAAACAUGAACCUAAUACACUUAUCAGCAGGCUACCUAUGCUUGAUUCUAUUUCGUUUCCUUAGUCUAUGAAAACUAAUAAUAUCUAUAAACAAGAUGUCGUAGAAUUUGUAUAUAUUUUUUUCGUAUGAAUAGAAAGAGAUACCCUUAUGUUAUUUUUAUCAAAUUGGUGUCUGACUUUUACUUCAUUUCACCAUCUUAUUAGUCCUUCUCUUUUUCACGAGAAUUGAAAUUUACUCAAUUUCUUUGCAAAUUCUGUUGGAUAUAUGCUUUCACAAAGAGGAAAAUGGAGAAGAAACAAAAAACAAAACCAAGGACAAUAAUGAAAGGAUAAAAAAGAAAAUUAAGAAGGCCCGAAUACGUUAUUGUUGUCCUCAACUGAUAUUUGCCCCUUCAAAAUGAAUUUGAUGCUUACAUGGAUCUUGGCAAAUGAUUUGCAGGAAUUAUCAAGCCUUGAAAAAGAUAUAAUACGUAAGUACUAAUGAUAUCUUCCAAAACUUAAGAAUCCAUAGGGAUGAAUAUGAUAGUAGAUUUUGAUCUUUUGUUGAAUGACAAUGUAAUCAAAUUGAUUUUUCUUGUGUUUGUAAUGAAUGUCAAUCACAUAUAUAUAGACUUCAAUGAGUCUCCACGAUCUGGUGCCAAAAUUCAAGUGAAAAGCUACUAGAAUUCAAUUAACAACGGCCAUUAACAGCUAGUUAUUAACAUUAUGCGAUCGCAGGCCAAACCUAUGCAACUGCAUAGUUAGUUCCACGGCAAGGCCUUUAGGCCUUGCAUAUGAUCAUGCGAUCGCAGGCUGAAAUGGCCUAUGCGGUCGCAUUGUUACAAGUUUUGGUUUUAUUUCCACUUUUCAUUCCAAACUUAUUUUAUUGAUUUUGAACAACAUGUAACAAUUUCUUUUAUCAUUUUGUUUUUCUCAAAUUUAAAAUAUAUGUUAGAUACAUGAACAUAAAAUGUAUUGUCCUGUACACUCCUGCCAAUUGGCUAGUAAGUUGCCUUUAAUAUUUUAGACUCAUGGUUUACAACUUAGUUCCCACUUAUGGGAUUGAUUUCUAAUUCUAACAAGCAGCACAUAGAUAUAAUGAAUCUUUAGAGCUAUCCAAUUCAAUCUGUAAAGAAUUUUAUUAUUAUACCAUGCUUUGUUUUAGGUGAAAGAUGGACUUCACUUGCCAAAUAUGACCACCCUUCAUUUGACAACAAUCAAAGAUGUUGGAGUUGGUUGUUCAAAAGCAACAAUUGAAACAUGUGGAACCAACAAAACGGUGUGUACAAUGAAUGAAAUAAAACCAAAAACGAAGGCACCAAACUUGGCUCACGCCACCGCAUGAGCCAUGUGGCCAUGCGGUUGCAUGGCCACUUACCGAAAAUUAGUGGCCUGCAUGAAGUUUCUCCAUGUGACCCCAUAGAUUUCUUCUAUGCAGUCGCAUAGAGGAAAUUUAGUGACCGUUUGAGCGAUUUUUUACCGUUUGGCUUUUGAAUAUUGUGCCUCUUCACAAGAAUUUUUUGCACCAAUUCAUGCAUUUGGUCAAGUCUAUAAAUAGUGGAGCAACAUUCAAGCCAAAAAUAUAUAGAAACACAUCUUGAAAUUCAUUCUUAUUCACAUCAAAAAUUAUUCCCCGAUUCUCUUCUCAUAUUCAUUUUAUUUAUUGUGUUCUUCAAGUUUCAGUAGAAAAUACUUUGUGCUUUAGUAUUUUUUGCAACAAGACUUGUCAAAAUCCUUCAAACCAUUUGCCGAAAUUCGUUUAAGCAUCUCAAAAACAUUGGAGAAGGGGCAAAUAAUGUUUGAGGACAGCGAUCCCGUGUUCAAGCCUUCAUAUUUGUUCUUGGCGAUUUUUUUUUAUUUCAUUUCAUCUUGUUGCCAUAUUUCUUUUGUCUACUCUUCAUCACUUCAACAUUUCUAGCAAUCUCAAACGUUACUCUGUGAUGGAAAGCGAGACAACGAUGACAACAAUCAAACUCAUGAAUCAAGACUUUGUGCGGUUAGAUCGAUUCGAUGGAAAGACAAAUUGAAGUUUCUUCUCACUGCAUUGAAGAUCUCAAACGUUACUCUGCGAUGGAAAGACAAAUUGAAGUUUUUUAUUUUCUUUAUGGCAUGCUAGAUUAGGUCACAUAGGUAAAAGUUCCAUGAAACGCAUGAGAAAUUGUAAUUUAAUUUCAUAUGAUGGAAAUGAUGCCAUUAUAUGAAAAAUAUGUGUAGAAGCAAAAAUGGUUAAAUAGCCUUAGCAAAGCGUUAAGAGGACUUCUAGCAUAUGAGAAUUAAUUCAUUCCGAUAUAUGUGAAUUGAAUGACAUGCUAACAAGAGGUGAAAAUAGAUAUUUCAUAACAUUUAUUAAUGAUUGCUCAAGAUAUACCUAUGUUUAUUCGAUGAAACAUAAACAUGAGGCCUUUGAUUUGUUUAAAACUUAUAAGAAUGAAGUUGAAAACCACUUAAAUAAGAAAAUAAACACCUUAAGAAGUGAUAAAGGUGGUGAAUACUUUUCUAGUGAAUUUAAUUUAUAUUGUGAACAACAUUACAUAAUUCACCAAUGUUCUGCACCUAGGACACCCGAACAAAAUAGUUUGGCUGUAAGGAGAAUAGAACCUUAGUAGAAAUGAUUGAUGCAAUGCUUAUAUAUGCUAAGUUGACGUUUAAUUUAUGGGGUAAAGUUUUAUUAAGUGCAUGUAGAAUACUUUAUAGGAUUCCUUCUAAACAUAUAAAGGUUUCUCUUUAUGAAUUGUAGAAAGGAAGAAAACUGAACAUUGGAUACUUCAAAGUGUGGGGUGUCUUGCUUAUUGCAAGAACACAAAUCCUAAUAGGACCAAAUUGGGUCCAAGAGGCAUUAAAUGUGCUUUUGUUGGAUAUGCUAAUAAUAGAAAAUCUUAUAUAUUGCUAACUUGGUGACCAAUGUAAUUAUCGAACGAAGUGAUGUAGAGUUCUUUGAAGAUUUGUUAUCAUCAGAUAAUGAGUUGAAGGAAAAUAUUGAAAACAUCCCUAGCUCAAGUGGAACACGUGAAGAAAUAAUUUCUAAAGAUAUUGCUGAGUCUAGUGAACCAUGAAGAAGCACGAGAACUUGAGUUGAGAAGUCUUUGGACCGGAUGAAAUUGAUUAUCAACUUAUCCCCUUUUACUUAUUAGAAGGAAAUGAGUUAAAUUUUGUAAGAACAGUUCCUUUUAUUCUACAAGUGGAAACCGACCCUAAAACCUAUAAAGAAGUUAUGGUUUCUCGUGAUAGCAUUUUUUGAAAAGAUGCAAUUAAAGAUGAAAUGGAUUCGAUAAUGUCUAAUAAAAUUUGGGAACUUGUCGAUCUACCACCAGGAUCUAAACAUAUUGGAAGUAAAUGGGUAUUUAGGAGGAAAUAUAAUGUUGAUGGCUCUCUAAAUACUUUCAAAGUUAGAUUAGUGGCUAAAGGAUAUCGACAAAAGAAAUGAAUCGACUAUUUUGACAUUUAUGCACCAGUAGCUAGAAUAACAUCGAUUAGGAUAUUAUUCGCAUUGACUUCAAUAUAUGACUUGCAUGCUCAUCAAAUGGAUGUCAAUACGACAUUCUUAAAUGGAGAUCUCGAUGAGGAGGUCUAUAUGGAGCAACCCGAAGAGUUCGUUCUACCUAGAAAUGAACAUAAGGUAUGCAAGUUAGUAAAAUCUUUAUAUGGUUUGAAGCAUGCACCUGAGAAAUAGCAUGAGAAUUUUGACUUAGCUACAACAUCACUCGGAUUUAAACAUAAUAACGUAGAUAGAUUUUUAUAUUCUAAAGUGUAUGAUGAUUAUGUGAUAUUUAUAUGUUUAUAUGUUGACGACAUGUUGAUUAUGAGUAAUCACAUGGACGGUAUAGAAGAAACAAAGUGGUUUCUAUCUUCCACAUUCAAAAUGAAGGAUCUUGGUCGAGUGGAUACCAUUUUAGGUAUCAAAGUCACAAAGACUAGUGGGGGUUAUCACUUAUGUCAAUCACAUUAUAUUGAGAAUGUGAUAAAUAAGUUCAAACACUUGAACAUAAAAGAAUAUAGUACCCCGAUUGAUCCAAGUUCAAAACUUGUAAAGAAUGAUGAAAUGAUGAUUGCUCAAUUGGAAUAUGCUAGUGCAAUAGGAAGUCUUGUGUAUGCAGUUCAAUGUAUAAGAUCAGACAUAGUCUAUGCCAUAAGUAAACUUAGCAAGUUUAGUAGCAAUCCGAGUAAUAAUUAUUGGAAGGCCAUUGGAAGAGUUCUUGGAUGCUUAAAGAAAACCAAGAACCUGGGCAUGUAAUAUACUAAAUUCCCGACGGUAUUGGAAGGAUUUAACAACGCUAGUUGGAUAUCUAGCGCGGGUGAGAGUAAAUCCACUUCGGGUUGGGUGUUGACUCUUGGACAAGGUGCUGUUUCUUGGAAAUCAAUGAAACAAACAUGCAUAACACACUCGACCAUGGAAUUCAAUUUGUAGCCCUAUCGGAUAUCGAGAAAGAGGUUGAGUGGUUUAAGGAUCUCCUUUAUGAGAUACCUUUGGGAUCGAAGAAUAUCUCUUCAAUUCCUAUCAUGUGUGAUAGUUAAGCCACAUUAGCAAAAGCAUAUAAUGAGGUAUACAACGGAAAGUCGAGAAACAUGAGUCUUAGACCUGACUAUAUAAGGAAGUUAAUCAAGGAUGAAAUAAUUUUCCUAAAUUAUGUAAGAUCAAUUAAGAAUUUGGCGGAUCCUUUGACUAAACCUCUAAACAGCGAUUUAGUAGCAUCUGCUUCGAGUAGGAUGGGGUUGAAAUUCCUUAACUAAAAAGGUUCACCAAUCACAGCAACCCUACCUGUCUUUACUCAAAAGGUAAUUUACGGGUUCAAAAGAUAAUAACAAGUCAUUCAAUAUGUGGAUAGUUGCAGCAUUAUUAAAAAUCAAAAAUAAUCCUAUCCUAAUUAAAAUAAUGCUAGUUGUUACUGAAAUGAGGGAUGAGUUUUAAGCUCUUAAUGAAGUUCAGUGCUAAAACACAAAUACCUCUAAAAGUAACAAAGGUACUGGAAGAACUUCACCUAAACAAUCUUCAAGGUGGUACCGUCUUAAUAGGGAGUUGGAGUUUCUCUCUUAAAUAUUGUUGAAAAGGAUAAGCGCAAGGCCAUAAAAGCGCUAAGCGAGUUAUGAGGAACUUGAGAACACGUGAUACUCAUGUGUGUGUUCUUAUUGGUAUUGUUAUAUGGAAUAAUUGGUUCAAAGCUUUACGCUACCUUUAAUUCCGACCUUACUUUGUUAGAAUUACACAAGGUUAGAUUCAAAUAUACUUAGAAUAUGAGAUAUUGUUAAAUUUUGAAUAAGUGGGAGAUUGUUGGAUUCGGUUGUUCAAAAGCAACAAUUGAAACAUGUGGAACCAACAAAACGGUGUGUAUGAAAUAAAACCAAAAAUGGAGGAGCCAAACUUGGCUCAUGCAACCGCAUGAGCCAUGUGGCCAUGUGGUCGCAUGGCCACUUACCGAAAACUAUGCGGUCGCACAGAGGAAAUUUAGUGACCGUUUGAGGGGUUUUUUACCAUUCGGCUUUUGAAUAUUGUGGCUCUUCACAAGAAUUUUUUGCACCAAUUCGUGCAUUUGGUCAAGUCUAUAAAUAGUGGAGCAACAUUCAAGCCAAAAAUAUAUAGAAACACAUCUUGAAAUUCAUUCUCAUUCACAUCAAAAAUUAUACCCUGGUUCUCUUAUAUUCAUUUUAUAUAUUGUGUUCUUCAAGUUUUGGUAGAAAAUACUUUGGAGAAGGGGCAAAUAACGUUUGAGGACAAAUAACGUUUGAGGACAGCGAUCCCGUGUUCAAGCCUUCAUAUUUGUUCUUGGCAAUUUUUUCUGAUUUCAUUUCAUCUUGUUGCCAUAUUUCUUUUGUCUACUCUUCAUCACUUCAACAUUUCCAACAAAAGAUGCUCAUUACAAGGAAAAUUAGUUUAAAUAUUGAGAGCUUAAUCUUUGUAGAUGGAUUAAUAAUAAAGUCAUAGAUAUGAUAUUAACUUUUCAUUUUCUUGCAUGUGGUUGCAUUCAAAUUCUCUCACUUGUGUUUGUUGGUAACAUUGAUGGGGUAGUUAUGGUGUUGCGUAAUAAUUUUAUUUCUUCUAAAUUUCCUUGAAGACUGUUGCCUUUGCUUUUAUGUAUGCUCAAUUGAAUUUCUAUCUUCCAGAUUUCAACAUUAUUAUUUUUUAUUUUUUAACAUUUUUUUCUUUCUUCCAUUGAACAAAAGAAAGGUUUGUGCACCAUGUACCUACAAAAAAAUUGGUCCUUUGCUAACGUUUUCCAGCAUAUGUAUGUUUUGUUCAUUGUGUUACAAUAAGAUCACAUGUUCUCUAUCAUUUUAAUCAUUUUAAUCUUACUUGAAUAUUAUCCUUACGAAAUUUGAUCAGCUAUUAUGUGAAGUUCUAUAAAAUUUGUGUGAAAACUCACUGAACUUUCAAAUAGUUUCAACUUCCCAUUAAUAUUAGACAGUAACAUAACCUUCAAAAAUACCCUAUGUUACUAAGCAUCUUUAGUGCCAAUUUCUCGCAGAUUAGAAGGAAAUUGUCUUUAACUAGUGAGCUUUCAUUUUUGUCAUUUAUCUCUCUAAUGUGAUCAGUGAAAGUACACCUGUUGCAAUGGCAGGAAAAGAAACUAAUGAAGAAUUCUUACACAGAGAAAACAAAGUAAAAUUAUUUUGAAAUCACAAGGCUAGGUACUUUAUUAUUAUUAUUUUUUAAUUAAAGCAAGAAUACACCCAAUGUUAUGGUUCAUUUUUGCCAUCAAGCAUACCAAGACAUUUCUUGCUAAGCAUGUUCGGGGUUUGGUUCAUAAUGAAAAUUCAGCUUUUGUACCGAGAAGGAAUUACAGUUUGAGAUGGAAGGUAUCUAUGCUGCAAAGGAACAAGAUGUUGAGAACAACAACGCCAAAAAUGCAAUUUAUGCUAACAAAUGGAGAUUCCGUUGCUGAGUCUGGCCAAAAGAUUUUGAUGCUGACAAAUGGAAGCCCCUGAGUGGACUCUCAGAGCUCUGGCUCGGACAAAAACUCGCAUAUUUCAAAAAAGACAUGGAGUCAUGAAAAAAUGGACGUCAAUGAUGGUCAGGAUUGGUUGAGUAGUGUCGAAGAAAUCAAGAAGAAAUCAAAUUCGGCUCUUCUACCGAAAAGGAAUUAUAGUUUCAGAUGGAAGGUAUCUAUACUGCAGAGGAACAAGAAGUUGAGAACAACAAUGCCAAAAAUGCAAAUGUCGCUAACAAAUGUAGAUUCUGUUCCUGAGUCUGGCCAAAAGAUUUUGAUGCUCACAAAUGGGAGCCCCUCGGUGGACUCUCAAAGCUCCGGCUCAGACAGAAACUCGCAUAUCAAAAAAAGACGUGGGAUCAUGAAAAAAUGGACAGCAAUGAUGGUCAGGAUUGGUUGAGCAGUGUCGAAGAAAUCACGUGGGAUACAAUGUUUCAGAAUUUGAAACCCACGUGAUAAAUAUAACUGAAUUUUCCUUGUAACAGAAUUAGAAAUCAACUUUUUUUUUCCCCCAUGUUCUUUAACUAGAAUUUCAGCUGUGGGAUCUGCAUUUAGUCCUCACUAGUGCAGUAUACAGUUUUAUUUCUUAUUUGUGUCCAAUAUAUGUUUACUUUUUUUCCUUUCCAACCCAUAAAUACAAGAAUACAACAUAAGAAUGUUCAUAAAAAUCACAGGAACAAAGAGAGCCAAAUCAAGAGGAUAGAAUCUGAAUACAAAAAUUAACGUUGAAGUAGUAUAGCAAGUCCCAUCCAAGAUAGUGGAUAGCUAGUAUCCAUGAUAUGUAUUAUCUUCAGUAUAGAUAGAACAGACCGUAAAAAUUUAUCCUUUUCAUGAGGAACUCAAAAAACACUGUAAUAUACAGAACACAUGCUUAUACAUGACCAAAGAAUUACCUAUACAGGUCUGCAAUAACUUGAAUACACGACUUUGAGAUGGGAGUGUAACUCGACCCCAAACUCUUUGUUGCCAAAAGACUUAUGUUAUCAAUGAUGAGAGCUUGCAGGCUGAUUGAAGGAACCUACAGCAUAAAAGCAUUUGGUAAACUGGUCUUAUUCUGACGGUCAGUAUAAUGCCCAAGAAAGUUCCCAAACCACAAACUCCAGCUAAAACAAGAAAUGUGAACCUACAAAGAACACCAGAGCCCAAGAAAGAGGGAAAAGCACCCACAAGAAGAACAGCCCGUGGAGGGAAUUUGUUGCAGGCUAUGACUGGAGGAAUCUCAACAUUCUCUCCAAUAUCAUUUGCCUCUCCAAGAAAGGUCAACAGUUUCUGGUUGAAGCCGAGAAGUGAUUUCAGUGAAGGAGAGUAUUAAGGAAAAGUACAGGCACUCCCUGCUGCUGUUUCUGCCCAAACUGCAGCGCCUGAGCCCACCCAUGGUGGCUCCAUUCUUCUGGGAAGAUUCUUUGAUAGAAAUUCUUGUUGUUACUUAGCUAAACGCUGAAAUAUAUACAUAAACAGAAAAAAGAGUGUGCGUGAGACGGAUUGCUGGGACUGGAAAUUUUUGUGGGAGACGGGCAGUAAUUGUGUAUUGUCUGUAAUAAAGACCAAACACAUGCCAUCAUGCACUUGGGAAAAAAAUAGGGAUGCAUGACCAACAAUGGAAGGAAACAGGAAAAUAAAUGUUUGGGUAACUUAAUAAAAAUAACACGUGAAAAUUGGAAUGGAAAUUUACGUUACUGUAUAAACCACUAAGGAAUAUGAACAUCUAUUAUUGCCUAAUUAAUCUACUGUUACACAAAUUAAUCACUAUAGAAAUUAAAUUAAAUCAUUAGUACGUACUUAGCAACCGCCAAGUUAAUGAGCCCCCAUUACUUCACACAUUAAUUCAAGAAUUAAUAAACUUUAAUGCAAAUAACUGAUAUUCAAGCUAUAUAAUCCCUUUUCUGUGUCCUAAAUUCUCAUAAAUCAAAAAUUUAUCUUUUACUUACAAAUUGAGAUGACUUCCAAAUUUGUUCUCUUGGUUCUUCUUGGGGUUCUUAUUUGCACCACCACUGCGAGAAAGCUAGUUGACUCAGAUGAUUCUGUCGAUGAUAAAAAAGUCUUCUUUGAUCACUGGAAUUUAGGAGGUGGAGGUGGCGGCGGCGGUGGUGGUGGUGGUGGAGGUGGAGGACUAGGGGGAGGUUCUGGUUUCGGAGAAGGAUUUGGUGGUGGGUUUGGAGGUGGUGCUCAAGGAGGAGGAGGAGGUUUUGGUGGUGGAGGCGGUGGUGGAGGCGGAUUGGGUGGAGGAUCUGGGAGUGGAUUUGGAUUUGGUGCCGGCUAUGGCGGUGGAAUGGGAGGUGGAGGAAUCCCUUAAGUAAUUAAAGAAGUUUCAGUCCCAUACAUUUCCAAUUCAUACCUAGUGAUCAUUUUCAUGGCUCAAUUAUAAAGUAAUAGAUUGCAUAUGUUUAAUGUAAGCUUGAUUAAUAUAUUUGAAUAAAUUUGAUCAGAAUGGUGUUGUAGCGUAAGUCCUUUUGUAUAGGAAAAGUCCAAAAGGCCGAUAAAAUGUACGUGUACACUUGUUGAAAUGAUACAAAGGCAAAAAUAUCACUUCAAUUGAUCUUACUAAAAAAAAAAAAAAAAUCAUUCCGCAAAAUCGAUCAUUAUUAUCAAGUGCUGAGUAUUUUCAGCCAAAUGAUUUAACAUUCACGCAGGCUUGUGAUGUUUAGUUUAUGGAUUAAGAUAACUGAGUGAGAAACAUGAAAAUAAAUUUGUAGUUCAACUAUUUGACUGAGACAAAUUAAAGUUUGGUAUUUGAGAGUAACCCACACAUAAAUUUUACUGAUUUGCAAUAUCCAUUCUAAGUAAAUAGGAAUAGACGUUUCUAAUAAAUUUUAAAAAUGUAAUAACAUGUUAAUUAAAUAUACAUUUUUAUCUACAUGUUUAGCAGGACAUAGCGAGUUUACUUAUUAUCGAUGCACUCUAAAAUUCAUGGCUUACAAUCACUUGGAAAAAAUUUAGCUUUGCCAUGGAAGCACUUAAAGUGCUCAGAGAAGAUUGUCAGAGAUUGUUGAAAGAUUAUUUAAGCAGCCUUUUUGUAAUCUACUUUAGGAUUUUGUAUAGAUGUCCCAUAUUUUAUCAAUUGUAAAAUAUUUGUCAAUUUUUCAAAAGGUACUCAAAAAUGUCCUUUUGGGUGUUAAAUGUCCAAAUUACCCUUGUAGAUUGCUUUUUGAGUACAUAUAUUGCUCAUUAAUACUAAUUAAUGCCAUGUUUUGAUGUUUAACUUAUGUAAGAAAAAUCUAUUAAUAUAUUUAAUAUAUAAUGGACAAUAGAAAUUUUAACCAAAAAAUUAAAAUUAUCUCAUAAUCUUUUCGUCAGGUGCUAACCAUAAAUAUCAAUAGUUCAAUUGUCGAACUAGAAUGUGAAUAUUGAUAGUUAAAAUGUCGAACUCGACACUUAGUAAAUGUUAGGAAAUACAUUUGAACUAUUAGUCUCAUCGGUUUGCUAUUGUUUGGUAUAAUUUAUUCGUAGGUGCCUCUUGAAUGAUUUUAAAAGUCCCACUUAUAAAUUGUGCUGAAUGUUUAUUAUUGAUAUCUCAAAUUUUUAGCUAUGAGUAAUAAUUUAAGAUUUAUUGUGUAGCAUGGAGGCGAGUUGGACACAAUCGGCCACAUGCUCGAACCCGUUCUAGGAUCAAACAUGUAAAGUUGAAUGUUGUUUAUGGCUUGAGGUUGUCUUUUGUAGAUUACAAUUAUGAUGUUCAUUGUUUAUGUCAUAUUGUCGUUUUCGUGUUAUUACCGUUGCAGCUUUUAUUCCGGUGCAAAAAAUGCAGCUUUUAUUCCAGUGCAAAAAAUGUUCUACUUUUUACAAAAAAUAAGAUUUCAUUAAUUGCGAGUUGUUAAGUAGUAAAUGAAAUAAAAUAUCCAAACAUAACGAUUGAUCAAACAUACAAUAUUAUCGUUAUAUAUUAACACGUAAUUUUCAUUAAAAUUAGAAAAUUUAAAUAUAACCGAUAACAUAAAACAUUAUUUGCUUACGUCAAGCGUCAUCGACAUUGGAACUUUCGCUCCCAUUGACUUCCUCCUCAUCGUCCAAGCUUAUGAAAAUGAUCUCGUGUGGUGAAACAUUACAAUCAGAGGAACCAUGUAUUCGAAAAAUAUCGACUUUAUGGUUGAGUGAUUGAGAUAAUUGGCUAGAAACAUCAUCCAAGUUGGGAAAAAGGAAUUUUGGUGAUAGUAUCAUUGAUCAUCCAUUAUAUUUACAAACAAUUCUUUAUAAAUGAUGUCAGGAUAGUUGACCUACUACAAAAUAAAAAUGUCUUUUCACAGAUGAACAUGAACUAAACAAAAAUAAAAAUAAGUUGUUUGGUGUACACGUCAUGAUAUAACUUAGAAAUAAUAUGACAAAUUAUAAAUACAAAUGUAACACAUAGUUGUCCGAGUUAGUGAAGUCCUAUUGCAUACUAUUCUUCCAUCUCUUCCGAACACUCUUCGUGUAAGGAGUUCGAAAUCCAUCUAUAACUCCAUUAACAUGAACAAAUUCUAAUGUAAGAAGAUUUAACAUGAAAUGAAUUCUUACGACACACAAAAAUACAUUUUCAUUUUAUUAUAACUAUCGAGUAAUCCAUUCAAAUUUUCCAAAAAUUCAGUAACAAUUGUCGAGAAUGAUUUUUUUUUUUUAACUAAUGUUCCGUCAGUACUUUGAAAGAAACUCCCCAAGUGCAACACAUAAAUCAAAUUUUCUAAUCCACAAUGACCAUUGAAUGAACCACAUUGCAACCAAUUGAAUCAAUCAUAGCAUGAAACAUAAAAUGAACCAUAAAAUGAACUACAUCACCUAAGCUAUGAAUCAACAAAUUGAACCACAAUGCAACAAAUUGAACAUAUCAAUCCAAAAAAUCAACUUUCAUUACUAAACCUACAAUGAACAUGUAUAUUCUUAUAAAUCACAAUUAAAAUGUAUCGAACUUCUUUUAAAAGGGGGGAUGAGCAGCCACUGUUCAAGGAACAGUAAAGUAAUCUCAUUUCACUGUUAAAGCUAUUUUUUCCCCUUUUUUCAUUUCUUUUUCUUCUUUAGCUCGCGUUGGUUUUUACCUGCUCCUGAUUUUCGACGACCAUACUUCUAAGGCAACCAUACUCCUUAUUUUCAAGUACGAAGUAAGGCAAUGAGUGUAGAACUUUAUUUCUUUUUGUUUUCCUUCUCAACCCAUCCCCUCCUCCUUAUUCUCGUCUUCUUCUAAUCUUCAGGCAAAGGAUGGGUAUUUUUUUUCGAAAUUUUUAGUUUUUAAUGGGAUGAUGUUCCAUCCAUUAAUUUGGCCAACGACGGUGGUGGAAGGUGAGCCUUUGAGUUUGAUAUUUUCCCUCUGCACAUGCUUCAUUUCGAUUUAGUUGCUGGUUUUUUUUUUCUUUUUUUUUUUCAAAAUUUUUAAUUAUAAUGUCAUUUUCUACUUUUUUUUUAUUUGCUUCUAUAACUAAUGCAGAGGGAGUGAAGUUGAAUGGACCAACGGGGAAUUGAGGAAAGAAGGGCAAUUGAAAUCACUUCCUGGGACGCAUGGGAAGCUUCUUUCUCAGUCCUCGGUAGAUUGACAAUUUUCACUUAGUUUCAUUACUUACAUCAUUGUCAUAGUUGGUGUGGUGUAAGGUUGUCAUUCUUUUUGGGGUUAUGCAUUGGAAGAAUUUUUUAUUUUAAUUUAUUUAUUUUUGAUUCAUGCUCGUAGCUGUCUUUGUUAAGCUGAUAGUGCGAGAGUUGCUUAUUAAGCUAUUUUCUUAUUUGUUUCUUAUGUAGGAAUGUAUACAUAUAUAUAUUAUAUAUCAAAUAUGGUAAACUAAAAAAAUAAAAAAUCAAAUAGUUUGAAUUUAAAAAAAUCAAAGAGAAUAAAAAAGAAAGAGAAACGUAUAAAUAAUCAAUGGAGAAAAAAAAAUGUAGCUCCUCACUGUGCGGAGCCAUUUGCAAAUUUUUUUCCCCUUUUUGUGGUAGCAAUUUCAUUUUUUUCCUUUCUUUUUUCUUUUCUCUCCGCUUUCCCUAUUUUUGUUUUCUUUUUACAGAGGUUUGAAACUAUGAAACAAGGGUUUUGGUAAUUAAAUAUAGAAUUUUGCAAUGAAUUGAAUGUAUGUUGGUUUGAUUUUACUGUGUGGUUCUAGAUUGAUUUUUUUUAGAGGGUAUUAUGAUUUCGUUUUAAUCGUUCUCGAAAGAUUAAGGAUUUUAUUUUGUUUUACGAGGCAAGACAAGAAAUAUGACGAAAGAUGAAGUAGCUCUAAUGGAUCACUUAGGUUGGAAAAAAGUCCAUGUCUUCAGCCAUUCAAGUUAGUGAGUUCUAAUUUUGAAUUUUAAUGAUGUUUGAUUUUUUUUAUUUUCAUUUCUGUUGUUGAAAGGUAAAUAGCAUACAUUUCUUGUUUGAGAUUAUAUUGUUGUUUUAGCUCAUUGAUGUUAUCUCUUCAAGGUGGUUAGUCAAAUAAGUACAUAGUUAAAUACCUCGACAUUGGUGAAAAUAUGGUAAUCUAAAAAAAUAAAAAACCAAAUAGAAAAAAAAAACAAAAAAAAAACAAUGUGUCGGAGAGUUUGGAGAUACCUCGACAUUGGUGAAAAAAUACGGUAAUCUAAAAAAAUAAAAAACCAAAUAGAAAGAAAAACGAAGAAUAAAAAAAUCAAUGUGUUCGCACUGCUUUGCAUUUUGUGCCAAGCGAAGAGUUUUGGAGAGUUUCUCCAAAAUCUCCGAAGAGUUUGGAGUGCAGAACAACUCCGCACAUUGCCUUGCAAAUUUUUCUUUUUCUUUUUGCGGUGUUUUUUUUUUUUUCCUCUCUCUCCCCAACAAUUAUAACCAUCUGUUUAACCUAUUCCGAGUCACUUAACCAGCACCAAGGAUGAAGAUCGAGGUGAACAGAAACCCUAGUAACCUAAUUCUUUUUAUCGGUUAAUUAAUUUGAAUAUAUAUCCAUCAUCUAGGGAAAAUAACGAUCUAUGGGUUUUGUGAAUUUUGAUUUAUUGUUUCUUAAUCUAUUUUUUUCUUUUUUGUUUUUGUAUGAUAAUAGGAUUUGUCUUCUUGAUAAUGGAUAUUUUCUUUAGCCUUGAGCUUACUUAAGCUGAUAUUAUCUUAUUUAUCUUGGGUAUCUGUGGCUACCCAAUAUGUGGUUUUUGGUCUUGAAAUAAAUAAUUAAUAUCAGAAUCGAACAAGAAAUUUCUAACAUCUUAAACAUCAAGGCAACCAAUAAAUUUCUAGGUUUGGAAGGCUCUCUACAAGCAGUAACUCAAAAAAAAUGCAUCUUUCCUUCCCGCUUAGUUUCUGAUUUGGAUCAGUUUAUUUCUUUUAAAAUUCUAAAGUUGGUCUAAUCAUAGAUUGUGCUUGGUCAACACUCUUUUUGGUUUCAUUGCAAAUUUGUUACAUCAACUAGAAAAUUUAUCUCGCCGGUAGGUACUUUCCCAGGAAAUGUGUCUAGGUUCAUGAAAUAAGACUAGAAAGUUUUACAUUGAUUUUUAACUUGCCACGACUCUAUUGUAUCUUAUGCGCAGUUUUAUGGAACCAUGCUUAUAUGUAGCCAUAUUGUUGAGUUGCACAACCUAAUUUAUUAUCAUUGUCAUAUUGGUAUAGUUUGUUAUUACGAUCAUUCUAUUGUUUGUUAGCUUUUUAAUGCUUCUAACUUGUUAACGAUUAUUCCACCCUGUUUAGCACAACUUUUGAGACAUAAAAAGAAUAAAAAAUAAUAGUAUUUGUUUGUUGUAAUCUUACAUUCUUUGCCGAAAAAUUCUUGUGGGUUGGGGUGGCGUCCUGGAGCUCAAGUUUGUUAUCUACGUUACUUCAAUCCUCAUUAUUUGAAACAUGUUGGUGGUUUUGUAGAAUGACAAGGCUUUUCUUCAGAAGAAGAAGGAAGGGGAGAAGGUAGAAUUUAUUUAUGAUCUAGCGCACAUUUGACCCCCAUUAUUCCCUAAAAUAGUAAUGUAAGGAAUGUACGGAAGAGGAGAAGGUAGAAUUUAUUUAUGAUCUAGCGCACGAUUAGAAUCAGGGCCCUACAAAUCUCUGAUCGAUCGCACUUUUUUCCCAAUUUAUAGGAGGGAUAAAUUUUAUGCAUACCUUAAACCUAUAACAAAAAUAGCAUUUGUUUCUACUGUGAUGAUGUGGAUGGUUGAAAGACAGUUGAACAUUUUGGAUUUUUUCUAUUGCAAGAAAUAUUCAUCUUAAUAUCAUUCUUAUUAGAUUAUUCUAUUUGUCGUUCGAUUUACUAUAUUAUUCUCUGCAUAUUUUUUACAUUUAAUUCUCAUAAUAUGAACGUAUGAGAUUUUUAUUGGAAGCUCUCAUUGAAUAUACGAAGCAUCUUGAAGUAUAGAGAUGUUGAGCAAAUGGCAGCCAUAUAAGCAAUGCAAAAGGUUUUUUGCUCAGAAAAGUUUACUUCAAUCCUUGAGGUAUUAUCUGUAAACUAAAAUCUCAAAAUCAUUUUUGUAGCAUUUAGAACUCAGAUGGAAAAAUGCAUUUUCCAUUUUUCAUGUAACCUCCAGUGUUUUAAUUUGGUAAUUGUAAUAGAGUAUAUUGUGAGGCUUUAAAAGUCAGCGUUUCUUCUUCUCUUCAACCAUAAAUGUUUACAUUUCCAAUUUCUCCACUAGAAUUCAAAAAAUCUACAAUUUAUACGCUAAUAAAAGCUUAAUAAAUACAAAAUUUGUGCAACGCACGUGGCGAAGACUACUAUUCUAAUAAACCACAAAUUCAACUUACAUCUAAGUACACCCUAAAUCCCUUACAAGAAUUUAAUUCACGAGAAAAUAAAUCACAAUGGACAUGUAAAUUCUAAUUUCAAGGCAAAACUACCACCUAUUAGAGACAAAAAUACAACUUCCUAAAAAAUCCAAAUUUUUUGGCCAAAAAUUCAACAUUUUUGAAUAAUAUUAAAAAAUUCAAAAAUCUUAAACCUUAGGUAUAAUGGAACAAUGCGAGAUGAACAUACCUUGUGUUAAAAUGAGAGUUGAUUUUGGGGAUACAAACUUCUGGUUCUCUGUUAAUUUCGAUACAUACUAUGGAAGGAUAAAUCAACCACUUGAGAAUGAAGUGAAAAAUGAGGUAAAUGGGGGUGUGGGGGUGUUUUAUCUAUCAUGGGAGUGACAUGAUUUAGAGUUUUAGUUUUAAACAAUGAAGGAGGAGGUAAGGAAGAAGAAGAAGAGAAAAUUUGAAUAAUGGAGGUUGGUUGUGAGUUUAGUACAUGGGUGGGAGUGGGGAUAGGGGUGAUUUUUCCAACUAGGGAUGUAAAUUUGGUUCACUGGCUCGGACAGCCUGUAACACAGCUCAAGAAAAGCUCGAAUCGACCUAACUCAUGGCUUGGAGGAAUCGAGCCAAAGCUUGAGUCGAACACCAUUUUGGGGCAUUGACUAAGCUCGAGCCAGCUGAUGUGGCUUAACGUAGGCUCUAGCUCUAGCCAACUAGUGUGGCUCGACAAUCCACAUGGGUCGGCCCAUAACGAGCCGAGCCUUAGGAUAAAAAAUGCCUGCAAGCAACAUUAAUAUGAAAAAAAUGAUAAUAAUAAAAUUCAAAUGGAAAAAACUGCCUUAAAAUAGAUGGCUACAGUAGCUGCCUAUUUUACUACGCAUUUUAUGGCAUAUUGAAAUUUGAAUUUCAAAUUUAGUUGAGUCGGUUAUAUAUUUUGGCUAUAAAUAUGAGUUAAAUUUUUGAGUUUCAUAUCAAUUUUUUCAAUCCUUGCAGUAUUCUAGUUUCAACUCCAAUCUCCAAUUUUUUUGCGCUAAUAUUCAGUUUUGAUGCCACAAAAGAAUAUAGAGGUGUUUAUUAUUCAACAUCAUUACUUGUUUUACAACGCAUUUUCUACAUUUCACAAACAUUUCAUAAAUAUAGGAAUUUGACAGUUUUUGUUAAUGUAGUCUAGCUAAUGGAGUUAAAAUUUCAUAAAUCUUGGGAAGAAUUGCCCUCAUUAUCUUUUUUAGUUUCAGUGAUGGACUCUUGACUUAAUUUAAUUAUCACAAAGCUAUUAUAAAGGAAAUUUAAAAUUUCAUAAUUGUGGAAUUAUCACAUAUGUAUAUAUAAUCUAUAUUAAGUAAAAUGUAUAACUAUUAUGUUGAAAAAGAAGGUUAGUAUAGCUCUACUCCUCAAGGUUCUUUUUCAAGAAAUAUUUCAACAAAUUUAUAUAGUAUGCGGAAUAAUUUGGACACCGAUACACGUGUUUUCUCAUAUAGUUCUACUUCAUCAAUAUCUAGUGCUAUUUAUGUUAGUGGUACAAAUUUUGAAAUUUUCUCUGAGUUAACUAGGUAUAUGUGCGUGGACGUUCGUUGUGUGUUAUAAUAAAAGAAUUACAAGAAUUUAGUAUUCUAUCAUGAUGGAGAUGUAACAAAAGACAAUAUCCAAUUGUAUCCAAAAUUGCAACCAAUCUACUAACACAUCUGAUAUCUACAAUGGCAUCAGAGGCUGCAUUUAGUUUAGGUAAUUGAGUUUUAUCAAACAGAAUAUCUAGACUAAAAGAAGAUAUAUUUGAAGUUUUAAUAUGCUUGAAGGACCGUGAAUGUUCGAAAUUACGUAUUCAAGAACAAGUUGACAGUAUAAUAGCCAAAGAGUUAUAGGAGAUCCAAGCAUAAGAAUAUUGUAAGUUUUUAAAUUGAUUAAUUUAAAAAAAAUACGUAAAUUUUAAAUUUAUUUGUUUCAAAAAAAAUUGUACACGAAAUAUUUUAUUCGUAUACAAUUUUAACUACGCUUACGUUGAUUGUGGCAGAUCCCAAGCCCAAAAAGGGAAGAGGCUUGCAACUUUUAUUUAAUUUAUAAUUCGAAUAGAUUGCAUAAACUUUAAAUUCUUUAAAAAAAUGUUAGAAUUGUCACGAAUUAGAAAAAAAAAAGAAAGCAAGCUAGCUUGGCAAGGCCUCGAGCCAAAAGCUCUGGUCAAGUAUAGAUUUUUUGGCCGACCAAAAUCUCAACUCGGCUCAGGCCCAAAAAAACCUCAACCGUUUUUACUCGAGCCAAGCCCAAACUUCUAGUUUCGGUUUGGCUCUGUGCAUUGACAUUCAUAUUUUCAACUUUUUAGUAUAAUUUUUUCAACUAGUCAAAUCAAAAAUUAAUAAAUGACAUGUACGGUAUUUCAAAUUUGUAGAAGGGCAAAAAAAUUCAAAACAUAAUUAUCAAAAUUAUUAAAAUGUGAUAUUUUUAUAAAUGCCGAUCCAAAAAGUGGCAUGGGUGCAAUUUUCUCUUUUACUUUUUGUAUGAAAUUUACUCUACUUUAUCAUUUACUUAUUAGCUCUAGUUAAUAAAUAAUAAAAUGACAUUUCAAAUGUGAUAUCACUUGAAGUAUAUUGCGUGACAUUUUUCUAUUUGUUAACAAGAGUUGAUUUAAUAAGUUGUCAAAAUUUUGAUCGAGUGGCAGUAAAGAAGAAAGUCGAAGAGGGGUUUAGCAAUCGCAAUUUGGAUGGAUGAUUUGUUUCCAAAUAUUCUUGAAAUUAUUUUAAAUUAUUCGGAGCAAUGGAUGUGAGGUUUUUCGAUAUCACUGAAAUAGAAAAGAAAAUAUAAUAGGGUUACAUUUCUUUGAGGUGGUACUCAAAUCUCCAACUUAUUAUUAUUGAUUUACAGUUGUCCACCUUUUAAAAUUGUAUAAACUAAGUUCUUGUUAAACCAUUUUCUUCCAUUUACCCGUCAUAAAGUCCAAUUUUGAUCGAAACUCGAAUUAAAGAUGGGGUUUUUUUAUUUCUCUUUCUUUCUUUCUUUUUUUAAAUUUGGUUGUAUUUAUUGAGUUUAUCUUUCAAACAAAGUUUCGCUAUACAGAAUUUUUGGAAAAUUUACAAAAUACACAUUAUAUUUAGGGCGUAUAUACAAUUUUCAUGUUAUAUUUUGAACAUUACUGUGUUUUACUUAUUGGUAACAAAAAAAAACAUAUUUGAUAAAUACAUUGAUAUUUGUCAUUUUUUUUCCAUUAAACACAACUUUUUUUUUUUUGGGUGCUAAUAUUUGAUUCAUUAGUGGUUUUAGAAGCCUUUUGCCCUCUGAUUCAAUCUAUUGAAAUUAAUCAUAUGUUACAUUAAAUUGUCUACAUCAAUGAUAAGCCUACCAAAAAUUAGUAUUAACUCUGUUAGGUAUAGGUCUUAAUAAUUUCUCUCCUAACAUACACAAAUCCCAUUCCCUUUGUCACUCUCAAUACCCACAAAAUCCUAUCACUGCAUUGAUUCAGAAUCUCCCCCAAAUUUCAAUCUACGGCUUUUGAACAGCCACGUAUAGACCACCUCGAGAAAUUUCAACCCAAGUUCGCUGCGUGACCAAGACAAUACAUCAUAGUCUACUGCCUAGUAGGCUACUCAGUCGACUUGACAACUGCCCUACAAAAGCAAAAAUUGACCAAUUCACAAAGAAGCCUCUCUGAAUGUAGUCGAGUAGGCCCUUUGCUUGAUCGUUAGAUGGAGAUUUACUUUUUAAAAUAUAUCUACGAUCAAUUUAAAAAUGCAGUUGAUCAUCAAAUUUUUUAUCAACUUUUAUGUUGUAAUCGAGGUUGAUCAAGAAGCUUUUUGUUCUACUAUCAUGUUGCGCCAAGGUCAACCACAAAUCUUUUUAUAAUUGCUAGGGUGUCGGAACACGCCACUUUUAUAUUCUCUGCAUUUUAAUGAAGGGAUAAGGAUACACAUCUAUUCAUACAUAACAACCUUCAUACCACAUCAGCAAGGUAGAGGAUUACAAGAGUUUGCCAUGGGUACGUUUGGAGUGUUUUUAAACCAUAUUAUUGUUUACAUUUGUGAAGAGGAUUAUUGACAUAUUAAGGAAAUAUCUUUAUUGAUGUACUUACUAUUAAAAAUUGUAUAAUUUAUAUGGAUAUCAAUUUUUAGAAGAAAUUUUGUGAAAUGAACGGAAACAAAACAAAACUAUUUAUGUUUGAUUUCUUACUAAAAUAAUUUAGCAAAUAAAAAUGGAUUAAAAAUCUUAUCUGUCAUCAAACUUUUAAAAUAUGUCAUUUUAGUUGCUGUUUUUUACCAUUUUAGUAAAUUUAACUGUUUUGUUGAUACAUUUCGAUAUGUUGGUGACCUUGAUGUAAGUAUUAACUGCAAUUAAUAUAAUAUAAUAUUCAAUUAAUUAUUUCUAAAUAGUCCUUUAAUUCUAUAAUCAUGUGCUAUUAAAUACUAAUCACAGUGAUGUUUAUACUUGCCAUCUCAAAAUGGUUACACAAAAUUUUUGCUUGAGUGCAUUCAUUAGCAAAUAAGGAAUAGAGUAUUAAAAAUUUCCUAUGCUUUUGAUGAUUUAUCCAAGAUUAAAAAUCGGCCUUUAAUUAAUUUAAAAUGAUUUAAAUAUUACAUUUCCUCACAUAAUAAUGUGAUAGAAUAGUUUAUUGAAGAUUAAUGUUAGCUUAUUGCUUAAAAAAAAUCAUAUUUUCAAACUUAGUUAGGCGAGAACAUAUUUGAUACACGAUAUGGACCAAAGAAGAUUAAAAGUUUAAACGUAUAUUCUGAUCUACCUAUAAACUAACUUCAUGGGUAAAUUGACCUAAACGGACUUUAUUUUAGUUCAUUAGGCUUAGGUUUCUCAGUAAAUUAUCACUUCUAAUUUAAGUGUAUUAAUUUUCACAUUCACUCAAAUUUUCUAAAUUACAUAUGUUUUUCCUUUCUUAUACUUUUGAACUUCUUCAUGUCACCAUUUGUUGGUUAGUGUAUUAGAAAUGAUCUAAAUGAGAGAUUCAUUAAACGUCACUCUACAUUUCUGCAUUUUUUAAUUUUCAUCUUCAUUAUUUUUACUAUUAGCCACAAAAUUCAUUUUCCCUGCUUCUUGAUCUUCAACAACUCUAUAACAUUGCCACUAGAUCAUUACACCUCUAAUUUUUUCCAACUCCGUAGUAACAACUCUUCCUAAAAUUUUCUUUCGUACAAGUCCGUACUUCUUUUACUUUUGUCUAGCUCACAAGCUUGAGUUUUUGUUUGAUUUUUGCUUUUAAUGUUUUCAUGAGGAUUAGAGGAAGUUGAUAUGGAUAUAUUUAAAGAUUACUUGGUUGAUUUGGAAAUGUUUACAGUUCUCUUGUGUGUAUUUCUAGACCCGUAUACAGUGGCAAAUUCAGGAUGUUGAGUCAACACACGCAGUCGUUGACCAUGGACCGUCGGCCAAAUUAAAAUAUUAAGAGCUCCUUUUAAAUAGUGAUUUGAUGGAGAACGUGUACUUAAAAAUAAAGAAAAAUUUUAAAUUUACGUGUAAUAUUAUUUUAUUAGAGAAUAUAUAUGAUCGAAAAUAAGAUAAAAAAAAAUUAUUCUAAAAUAAAUGGGAAUCAAACAAGGCUUAAAAUUUAAAUAAAACAAUUAUUUUCAUGAAGCUGAAUAUAUAUAAUUAUGUUAUAAGAAUAAACCCUACUCACCAAAUGACAUUGUUGCUUUGUAUAAUUCAAAGGAAGAGCACGAGUUAGAAAUUAGAAUUUUUACAAUUGCAUAAAAAGUAUUAAAAUCUAACAUAUAUUAUUUUGUAAAAUUUAGUAUCCCAACUCAACAAGUGUCAUAGUGGUUAAGAUUUCAAUAUUUCUGACAUAACAAGGGCUCAUAGGUUCGAAUCCUCUCUUGUGCCUUUCUUAUUAUAACAAUUUUGGUAAAAAUUGUAUAACUAAAAAUGUUGGUAGAAUAAAUAGGUUGACAAAAGUUUCCAACCUGGGACUUCAAAAAUGGAAAUGCAAGUGCUUACCAACUUCGCCAAAAGGAAAGGUUGUAAAGAAAUUGACUUACCAGUAAUAUAUCCUUAAACUCUAUUCUCGACCAAAAAAUAAUAAUAAUAAUAAUAAUAAUAAAAAGCCUGCUGGCGCUGGCAGAUCCAUCACGCGCAGCUGCGGAUGCUCGCCAGGUGCUAGAUCCACCACUGCCUGUAUACCGAUUUCAACUGGAUAACUUAAAAUGAAGUUUAGUUGAGCCUACCCUUUGUUCAUGUGUAAAAUGACUCAGACAGAUUGAUUUAGGUUCUGUAGUGUUGGUCUUCCAUUUAAUUAUUGCUUUCACUUGUAAUUUAACAAUGUUCAUAUUUAUUCGAAUUUCUCAAAUAACAUACGUUUUCACUUUCAUACUUGCAGCUUUUAACCAUUUUGUAUCAUUGUUCGUUGAUGAAUGUAGUAGAGAUGAUCGAAAUGAAACACUUAUUAAACAUCAUUAUGCAUUUUUCCAUCUUAAAACUUAGAUCUUCAUUAUUCCUACCGUUAGCCAUGGAACCCAUAUUAAUCGAUUCACAGUCCUUGACAAUAUUAUGAGACUUUUGUAUGCGCAAUCAGAUCAUCUUUUAUAGUUACAACUCUCCGUUAAAAGAAAUACUAGCAUAUCAAAAAUGUUUGUGACCUUAUGUAGAUUUCAUUUCAUCAAUAUAUGAGGCAGUGACUUUAAUGUUCAUUUCAUCAGUACUUGUUAAAUUUAUUCAUGUUGUAAAUGUUACUAGAGCCUCAUGACUUUUCUGAAUCCAUUUUAUUUUACAUUGUGCUAAAUCUCGUAUUAUUAUUAUUUGGUAGUUUUUUAGCUAAAACAAUAUUUUUUCAUUGUAUUCAAAUCAGUGGUAAAUUUAUUGUUCUAAUGGAUUCUCCGGAAAUAUCUACCAAUGAAGAGCCGGUUUGUUUUAAUCUUGAAAGUAUUUCUCAAAACACAAGUAAAUCAUAUAAUACUUUCAUUCGCCAACAACAAAAUUGAAGAUAGAUAGAUAGGAUGAAUCGAGUUCAAACUGUAAGUAUUGAUCAUUUUAAAAGGGUAAAUGAUCCUAUGUUAUCUCGAAAUAAUAAUUCUGGUGUUGGCUAUGUAUGUGAAUCUAUAAUACGUUCUCAUUUUGAGGCUUCUAUUUCAAAUGAAGAACGGAUUAAUGUUUUUUAUUCUAAAUUACAUGGAAGUUUUGACUUGUUGAAUAUAUCAACUACUGCAUAUGUAUUACUGACAUGCAACUACUGUAAGCAUUGUGGUGCAUGCAAAUUUUUUUCGAGAAACUAAAGGUUUUUGUUGCUCUAAUGGAAAAGUGAAACUUUUUAUGGCUAAUUCACUAUGGCUGGAUCUGAGUUAUAACAAGUUUAAUGAUACCAUUCCAGUUGCCAGCAACACUACAUUAGGUAUGGACAUGCUACUUAAUGCUAGACACUUCUAUGAAUUCUCUCUUAGAGUUAUAAAGCGUUUAGAAUUCUGUUUCUCCUUCAUUAUUGAUUUCCGCAUUCACAAGAAGUGAUUUUCAUUGUUCACAGCCAUUUGUAAAAUAAUCAACUUUCUGGAUCUAUCCUCGAUCAACCGUUCAGUUCAAACAUGAAGCUAAUACACAGGUUAUCAGCAGGCUACCUAUGUUUGAUUCUAUUUCUUUUACUUAGUCAAUGAAAACUGAUAAUAUCUAUAAACAAGAUGUCAUCGAAUUUGUGUAUUUUCUUUCGUAUGAAUAGAAAGAGAUAUCCUUAUGUUAUCUUUAUCAAAAAGGUGUCUGAAUUUUACUUCAUUUCACCAUCUUAUUAGUCCUUUUCUUUUUCACGAGAAUUGCAAUUUACUUAAUUUCUUUGCAAAUUCUGUUGGAAAUAUGCUUUCACAAACGAGGAGAAUAGAGAAGAAACAAAAGACAACCAAGAAAUCAAGGACAGUAAUGAAAUGAUAAAAAGGAAAAUUAAGAAGGUCCAAAUACGUUAUCGUUGUCCUCAAACGAUAUUUGACCCCUUCAAGAUGAAUUUGAUGCUUACAUGGAUCUUGGCAAAUGUUUUGCAGGAAUUAUCACGCCUUUAAGAAGAUAUAACGCGUAAGCAUUAAUUAUAUCUUCCAAAACUUAAGAACACAAAGACAUGAAUAUGAUGGGAGAUUUUGAUCUUUUGUUGAAUGACAAUGUAAUCAUGAAAUUGAUUUUUCUCAUGUUUGUAAUGAAUGUCAAUCACCUAUAUAUAAACUUCGAUGAGUCUCCACGAAUUGGUACCAAAAAUCAAGUGAAAAGCCAUCAGAAUUCAAAUAACAAUGGCCAUUAACGACUAGUUAUUAACAUUAUGAGAUCGCACAGGCCAAACCUAUGCGAUCCCAUAGUUAGUUCCAUAGUAAGGCCUUGCAUAUGCUCAUGCGACCGCAGGCCGAAAUGGCAUAUGCGGUCACAUUGUUACAAGUUUUGGCUUUAUUUCCACUUUUUCAUUCCAAACUUAUUUUAUUGAUUUUGAACAUGUAACAAUUUCUUUGAUCAUUUUUUUUCCUCAAAUUUAAAAUAUGUCAGAUACAUGAACAUAAAAUGUAUUGUCCUGUACGCUCAUGCCAAGUGGCUGGUAAGUUGCCUUUAAUAUAUUAGAAUCAUGGUUUACAACUUAGUUCCCACUAAUGGGAUUGGUCUCUAAUUCUAACAAGCAGCACAUAGAUAUAAUGAAUUUUAGAGCUAUCCAAUUCAAUCUGUAAAGAUUUUUAUUAUUAUACCAUGCUUUGUUUUAGGUGAAAGAUGGACUUCACCUUCCAAAUAUGACCGCCCUUCAUUUGACAACAAUCAAAGAUGCUCAUUACAAGGAAAAUAAGUUUAAAUGCUAGCUUAAUCUUUGUACAUGGAUUAAUAAUAAAGUCAUAUGAUAUGAUAUUAACCUUUCAUUUUCUUGCCUGUGGUUGCAUUCAAAUUCUCUCACUUGUGUUUGUUGGUACCAUUGAUGGGGUAGUUAUGGUGUUGCGUAAUAAUUUUAUUUCUUCUAAACUUAAGACUGUUGCCUUUGCUUUUAUGUACGCUCAAUUGAAUUUCUAUCUCCCUGAUUUCAGCAUUAUUAUUUUUUAUUUUUUAACAUUUUUUUUUCUUUCUUCCAUUGAACAAAAGAAAGGUUUGUGCACCAUGUACCUACAAAAAAAUUGGUCCUUUGCUAUUGUUUUCCAGCAUAUGUAUGUUUCGUUCAUUGUGUUACAAUAAGAUCACAUGUUCUCCAUCAUUUUAAUCAUUUUAAUCUUACUUGAAUAUUAUCCUUAUGAAAUUUGAUCAGCUAUUAUGUGAAGUUCUAUAAAAUUUGUGUGAAAACUCACUGAACUUUCAAAUAGUUUUAACUUCCCAUUAAUAUUAGACAGUAACAUAACCUUCAAAAAUACCCUAUGUUACUAAGCAUCUUUAGUGCCAAUUUCUCGCAGAUUAGAAGGAAAUUGUCUUUAACUGAUUAGAAGGAAAUUGUCUUUAACUAGUGAGCUUUCAUUUGUCAUUUAUCUCUCUAAUGUGAUCAGUGAAAGUACACCUGUUGCAAUGGCAGGAAAAGAAACUAAUGAAGAAUUCUUACACACAGAAAACAAAGUGAAGUUAUUUUGAAAUCACAAGGCUAAGUACUUUAUUUUUAUUUUUUUAAUUAAAGCAAGAAUACUCCAAAUGUUAUGGUUCAUUUUCGCCAUCAAGCAUACCAAGACAUUUCUUGCUAAGCAUGUUCGGUGUUUGGUUCAUAAUGAAAAUUCGGCUUUUGUACCGAAAAGGAAUUAUAGUUUGAGAUUGAAGGUAUCUAUACUGCAGAGGAACAAGAAGUUGAGAACAACAAUUCCAAAAAAGCAAAUGAUGCUAACAAAUGUAGAUUCUGUUGCUGAGUCUGGCCAAAAGAUUUUGAUGCUCACAAAUGGGAGCCCCUCGGUGGACUCUCAAAGCUCCGGCUCAGACAGAAACUCGCAUAUCACAAAAAAGACGUGGGAUCAUGAAAAAAUGGACUGCGAUGAUGGUCAGGAUUGGUUGAGCAGUGUCGAAGAAAUCACGUCGGAUACAAUGUUUAAGAAUUUGAAACCCACAUGAUGAAUAUAACUGAAUUUUCCUUGUAAUAGAAUUAGAAAUCAACUUUUUUUUUCCCAUGUUCUUUAACUAGAAUUUCAGCUGUGGGAUUUGCAUUUAGUCCUCACUAGUGCAGUAUACAGUUUUAUUUCUCAUUUGUGUCCAAUAUAUGUUUACUUUUUUUCCUUUCCAACCCAUAAAUACAAGAAUACAACAUAAGAAUGUUCAUAAAAAUCACAGGAACAAAGAGAGCCAAAUCAAGAGGAUAGAAUCUGAAUACUAUAAUUAACGUUGAAGUAGUAUAGCAAGUCCCAUCCAAGACAGUGGAUAGCUAGUAUCCAUGAUAUGUAUUAUCUUCAGUAUAGAUAGAACAGACCGUAAAAAUUCAUCCUUUUCAUGAGGAACUCAAAGAACAAUGUAAUAUACAAAACACAUGCUUAUACAUGACCAAAUAAUUACCUAUACAAGUCUGCAAUAACUUGAAUACACGACUUUGAGAUGGGAGUGUAACUCGACCCCAAACUCUUUGAUUGCAAAAGACUUUCGUUAUCAAUGAUCAGAGCUUGCAGGCUGAUGGAAGGAACCUACAGCAUAAAAGCAUUUGGUAAACCGGUCUUAUUCUGACGGUGAGUAUAAUGCCCAAGAAAGUUCCCAAACCACAAACUCCAGCUAAAACAAGAAAUGUGAACCUAAAGCAAUUAGGACCCAUGCAAGACGACACUUGCUGCUUAGCUGCCUCUGUGUCGUAUACAUGACCGGCAAGCCAACGUGAGAAGAGAAAUGCAAAAGCUGGAUCUGUGUCGUAUACAUGACCGGCAAGCCAACGUGAGAAGAGAAAUGCAAAAGCUGGAUUUCCAAGAUGCAUGAAGUUGAAUGUUAAUCCAAAGUGUCUCAACCCCAAAAAGCUCCGAUGUAGUUGGAAUCAUAAUGCGAAAUUGAGCACCGUGGCAAAUUCCAAGCAAUGCUGUUGCAGCAUAGAGAGUGGGACUGAGAGCUGAAGCAUAUAGAAGAAAUGUUAAGAUCAUGAUUAUUUGUGCUACUGUCAUCCAAAAUGUUCGAGGAAUCAUUUUUGACAUGCAAUCGCGCAUAACAUUAAGCCGUCAGAUAAUGGUGUUACAAAAACUAAAAUAAGGAAGCUGUCACAAACAUUCCAUAUUGCAUGACAAGAAAUCAAGUUGCAGGUGCAUACGGGUUUUGAAAGAAAUAAGAAAAAGAGCUAAGAGUAAUUAAUUUUCCCUUUAUCCCCUCAGUUGCAAUCUACAUUUAAAAAUGUUUUAUUUACAGUUAAUUGUUUCUCAAUAUUCUUGCUUUAUAAAUGGCGAUUAUACCAGAGAUUCAAUUAGAAAAUGUAGAGAAGCAGGGACAUGAGUAUAUGCUGUUUUAAUCAAUGAAAGAUAUUGAAUCAAUCAUGGCAAAAAUACGAUAACCAUUCAUUUCCUUUUUGACAGGCAAAUGAAUUAUGUAUUUAGAGUAUAAUCAUAGUAUACAUUUUGCGUAACUUGUGGGAUUGAAAAUUCCUUAUUUUGUCGAUGCGGAAGUCUGUCUUUACUGAUUUCAAUAAAGAUAAUAUAUAAAAGUCAGAGUCAUUUUUCUUAAAAUGUUCAAUUAAAAAUUCCUUAUCAUAGCAAAAAUAAUCACACUCAGAAGUCUGUCUUUACUGAUUUCAUGUUAAAUCCAUAGUUGCAAUCAUUUAAAAAUGAUUUUUCCAACUUCUGCUUUCUCACUUUAUAUGUAAAUACACUGCACAAGCAUUCAUUCAUUAAACAAAACCACUCAGCAGCACUCGGAAGCAAGAAAUUCAAAGAAAAUGAAAUGCAUAUGGCAAAACGAAAAUGCCAAUGAUAAAAGAAAUUCCUACCGUAACAUCAAUUGGCCGCAUGUAGAUGAACAGGAAAUACCCAAUCACAAACCCAUCUUCGAAAACCGAAGGCACAUUAAAAAACCCAAAUAAAUACACAUUAAACCCGUCAUUUCUUGAAUAAAACCCAGAAAAGAAAAAUUAAAAAGGCAAUGAUACGAAUCUAUUGUAGUUAACCCAUGUGUUGUAGAUAAAUAAUGUUGCAAAAUAAAAUGAUAAGAAAUUGAAUGUAAACUGCAAAAUCUUACCAAGAGAUGAGAGGAAUUUCUGCAGGCACAAACUGAAGAAAGGGAUUGGAGAAGAAUAAAUGAAGAGAAUUGAAAAGGUCGUGAUUUCUUAGGACGGUUGGAAUUUCAUUUUGUUCUUUACAAAUGUAAGGGUAAUAUUGGAAUUUUAAAUUUUCAUUAAACUAGAAAACUGACUUCCCGUCUUUUUCUAGAAGAGCUUUUAGAGGAAGCCGCUUUUUCAAUUAGAAGAAGUCAUUUUAUAAAAUUAGCCAAACGGGUCCAAAAGCACUUUUGGGCCACAAAAGCUCCUUCUGUUUUCUGAAAAGCUAUCCCAAAUGGGCCCUAAAAAAAAAAAAAAUCUCUAGAAGUAUUUCGAGGGAGAAAAUUUUGAAUUGUUCUGAAAUUCAACGCUCUUGUCCCUAUACGUUCACGGCUCUAUAUAUACAACAGCCAUCCUAGAACCAUCGAAAAAAAUUUAGAAGCUUAUUUGGCAAAACUUAAAUUAUAAUUUAAUCUAGUCAAAGCACUACGAAAAAAAAAGGCACUAGUCUGGUUCGGUUCUUAAACUCGAAUUUUCAAGUAUUUAGUAAAUGGAACUGUCAUGUCCAAAUUUAAUUAUGGAACCUUUCGGGUUCGAUUCCAUUAUGUUCGGUUCGAUUUGAUUCCACUCGGCUCUUGGGUACCAUGCAAUAAUGAAUUUUUUUUAAUAUUUACAACAACGUUACAUUAAUUCAAUUAAUGAUAUUUUUAAUUUUAACUCUUACAAAAUAAUGUAAUCCAAUCAUCCUCUCUUCGUUGAGUUCUUCAUAGAUUUGAUUGUUAAAAUCAUAGAAAGCGGAAGAUAGCGAGCUCACAACAAUGAAGAGAGGUAUAGCCGAGUUUUCAAUUCGAUUUCCUCAAAAUUGUAGAAACAAGAAUACAGUAAAGUAAUAGAUUAGGUGAAUUUAAGUCAAUUUGAUUAAAUUGAGCUUGGGCUGAAAAUUAGAAAUAGGAAAUUCAUAUUUUUUAUUUGGGAUAUAAUUAGUUAACAAAUUUAUUUAGAAAAAAAUAAAAUAUUUUGAGUUGUUUAAGAUAAAUAAAUUAAAAAAUAGAAAAAUUCAGUUCUUAUUCGAUAAUUUAGUUCUUGGUCCAAAAUUGAGAACUGAAUUGAAUCCGUCGAUUUUCAAUUCAGAUACCCAUUCAUGAAUUUAUCUUAAUAAGAAUCGCUUGGUUCGAUUUAGUUCAAGUCCAAUCCGAUUAGAUUUGGGAGUUAUAUCCAAUUCUAAUUGUAAGAAAGAGAAUUGUGAUUACUUACUGAGUAUUCAGAAACGACUCUAGACCCAAGGCGACCUAAAAAUUUGCAAAAGCUGAACCAACUUAACAAAAUGGUCGUAUCAUUCACACCAAGCGAAUCUCCAAUCUGUGCCAAAUUAUUGAGGACAGUUAAUCCAAUCCAGAACCAAACCCAAGAAAGUAAACAGUCCAUGGGAGCCAAAAAUCAGCCUUCACUAUAUCUUCAGGGAAUUUGAAGUCUUCUCCUCUCCUAGGUUUCUUCUUCUUCUUCACCGCUCCCUCAUCCACGGCAAGAGGAAUAUCCACUUCUGAGAUAUCUUCGCUCUCAUAGAAACUUCCAAGAUAUUCUGCUGAUGAAGAUGGAGUCAGCAAAGGACAUGUCAGGGUCGAACCACUGUCGUCACUAUCAGAUUGGCUAGGUUUCUUAUGAUUAGCAGGGAAUAAUGUCAUUUUUAAUGGUAUUGCUAGAGGAGCCAUCAAAAGAAUGACCACUAUGGAGACAAAUAUGUAGGAGAUGGUGUUACCUAGGAGUAAUGCGCCUUUUAAAAUUGUCGUUGUGAGGAGAUAAAUUCUGUGGGACAGACGGGUUCCUUGAGUGAAACGAAAAUAAGCAUGCUUCGAAGAGUCUUCAGAAGCUGGACUACAAGGCCGGAUAAAAUACAUCAUUGCAAAACAUAUGAUGGGAAUGCCCAGCGUUAGGAGUAGUAAUAGGUUUGAAGCUGACCCAUUAAGCACCAUACUGUAAACCUCUUUAUAAACUGCAUCACUGGAACCAACAUAGCCUUUUAGUAGUCCAGCAACUGUUCCUCGAUUGUGAGGAAAAUUCCUCAUGUUGGUAACCCAACAAGUACUGCCAUACCAAGCCAUGCACUACUGUUAGUGGCAACACAUAGUGCAAUCCACAGCUGUCACAGUAUCAAAUAUUAAGUUAGAAGAGAUCUGUCACUGCCUGAAAGGGAACUAAAAUGGUGAUGAAGGUAAAAUCUGAACUUUGUUCAAAACAUUGUGCCAAAUAAAUAAAGAGACAUCGUUAUUCUAACUGGUUAGAUAGUGAUUAGUAGAAACUUACAAAAUGGUUCUAGAUGGUUGUGUAGCGAUUUUCAGUUAACAAGAUGUGGAUGUUAUGAAGUGGGCAGUUAGUAGACUAUUUGCAAUGAUUAGAUAGAAAGGAAAUUUUUUAUCUACCAUUUACAUGUAGAUUAUAUUAUGUAGUCAUCUUUCAGGUGAUGCAUGCAUGAAGAAGGAAGAUGAAGAUGGUGGUGAUAGCAAAAUAACCAGUAUCCGAAAUUAUUUAACUGUUAAAUGAUACAAAUUAACUAGCAAUUUGAGGAAUUGAAGAAUAUAAGCUCAGAGGCUGUUGUGAAUUAAUGCUGAGUAGCAAUCACAAGAUGAUCUCAAGAAAAAAUCUGGUUUUUGGAUAAUAAGAAAUCAUUGACCAACUCUUCGUGAAACGUAACACAUCUAGAUCUGAUGAUGACCACCCAAUGUGGCUGUAGGGCCACCGCCACAUGUUCCAAUGAAGUUGGAAUGCAUUUUUAUUCAUUGGACAUUGUGGAAGGGGUCGUCUGCGAUGUUGGACGGUGAUCAUCAACCAUGAUGACGAAUAGAAAUGUUUGUUUCCUAUACAAGUUAGUCGAGAAUCAAGAUGGAAUCCCAUACAUUUCUGGUUCAUACUUAGUGAUCACUUUCAUGGCUCAAUUAUAAAGUACUAGAUUGCAUAUGUUUAAUGUAAGCUUCAUUUUGUCGAUUAAUAUAUUUGAAUAAAUUUGAUCAGAAUGGUGUUGUAGUUCACUACAAAUUUAUUAGAAUCUUUCUAGAUAGGAUCGAGUUCGGUGCACUCUCCAAACCAAAGAAAUAUAGCUAUAUAAGGGUUCUGUUUUACAAUGGAAAGCAAGUUUUAGAAUAUAUUUGAAUAAAUUUGAUCAGAAUGGUGUUGUAGCGUAAGUCCUUUUGCACAGGAAAAGUCCAAAACGCCAAUAAAAUGUACGUGUACACUUGUCGAAAUGAUACAAAGGCAAAAAUAUCGCUUCAAUUGAUCUUAAUAAAAAAAAAAUCACCCGCAGAAUCAAUCAUUAUUAUCAAGUGUUGAGUAUUUUCAGCCAAAUGAUUUAACAUUCACGUAGGCUUGUGAUGUUUAGUUUAUGGAUUAAGAUAACUAAGUGAGAAACAUGAAAAGAAAUUUGUAGUUCAACUAUUUGACUGAGACAAAUUAAAGUCUGGUAAUUGAGAGUAACCCACACAUAAAUUUUACUGAUUUGCAAUAUCCAUUCUAAGUAAAUAGGAAUAGACGUUUCUAAUAAAUAUCCCAAGUCUUAAUAGAGGGGGAAAUGCAGAACUUACAACCCAAUAAGGCAGGGACUGAACAGUUUGGCUAACAGAAAGAUAAAGAACACCAUAGCCCAAGAAAGAGUCCAAAGCACCCACAAGAAGAACAGCCCGUGGUGGAAAUUUGUAGCAGGCUAUGACUGGAAGAAUCUCAACAUUCUCCCCAAUAUCAUUUGCCACUCCAAGAAAGGUCCACUGUUUCUGGUUGAAGCCGAGAACUGAUUUCAGUGAAGGAGAGUAUAAAGGAAAAGUAUAGGCACUCCCUGCUGCUAUUUCUGCCCAAACUGCAGCGCCUAAGCCCACCCAUGGUGGCUCCAUUCUUCUGGGAAGAUUCUUUCAUAGAAAUUCUUGUUGUUACUUAGCUCAACGCUGAAAUAUAUACAUAAACAGGAAAAAGAGUGUGCGUGAGACGGAUUGUUGGGACUGGAAAUUUUUGUGGGAGACGGGCAGUAAUUGUGUAUUGUCUGUAAUAAAGACCAAACACAUGCCAUCAUGCACUUGGGAAAAAAAUAGGGAUGCAUGACCAACAAUGGAAGGAAACAGGAAAAUAAAUGUUUUGGUAACUUAAUAAAAAUAACACGUGAAAAUUGGAAUGGAAAUUUACGUGACUGUGUAAUCUGAAUUGUUGCACUAUAAUAUAUGAGUUACAGUGAUCUUCAUAAAUAGCCAAACGCCUGGAAAGAUCUGAGAACGUGUAUAAACCACUAAGGAAUAUGAACAUCUAUUAUUGCCUAAUUAAUCUACUAUUACACUAAUUAAUAACUAUAAAAAUUAAAUUAAAUCAUUAGUACGUACUUAGUAACCGCCAAGUUAAUGAGACCCCCAUUAAUUCACACAUUAAUUCAAGAAUUAAUAAACUUUAAUGCAAAUAACUGAUAUUCAAGCUAUAAAAUCCCUUUUCUGUGUCCUAAAUUCUCAUCAAUCAAAAAUCUAUCUUUUACUUACAAAUUGAGAUGACUUCCAAAUUUGUUCUCUUGGUUCUUCUUGGGGUUCUUAUUUGCACCACCACUGCGAGAAAGCUAGUUGACUCAGAUGAUCCUGUCGAUGAUAAAAAUGUCUCCUUUGAUCACUGGAAUUUAGGAGGUGGCGGUGGUGGUGGAGGUGGUGGUGGUGGUGGAGGAGGUGGAGGACUAGGGGGAGGGUCUGGUUUCGGAGAAGGAUUUGGUGGUGGGUUUGGAGGUGGUGCUCAAGGAGGAGGAGGAGGUUUUGGUGGUGGAGGCGGUGGUGGAGGCGGAUUGGGUGGAGGAUCUGGGAGUGGAUUUGGAUUUGGUGCUGGCUAUGGCGGUGGAAUGGGAGGUGGAGGAAUCCCUUAAGUAAUUAAAGAAGUUUCAGUCCCAUACAUUUCCAAUUCACACUUAGUGAUCAUUUUCAUGGCUCAAUUAAAAAUAAAGUAUUAGAUUGCAUAUAUUUAAUGUAAGCUUCAUUUUGUUGAUUAAUACAUUUGAAUAAAUUUGAUCUCGAUAUGCAUUAUUUACAACAAGUCCACAAGUUUAAUAUAAAUUUCAUUAUGCAAAAUGUUUCAUGUUUAAUCCAUUGUUUUCUUUCAAUAAUUGAAGAGAUUAGAAAGAAUUCUUAUUUUAGUAAAAGAAAUACAUAAAAUAAUUUCAUCUUCUGAGCAAUCGAAGAGUAAUGGUCCCUUAAUAGUCAAGCCAACCUAAUAUGCCCCUUGUACGUGUACACUUGUCGAAAUGAUACAAAGGUAAAAAUAUCGCUUCAAUUGAUCUUAAUAAAAAAAAAAAAAAAAAUCACCCGCAAAAUCAAUCAUUAUUAUCAAGUGUUGAGUAUUUUCAGCCAAAUGAUUUAACAUUCACGUAGGCUUGUGAUGUUUAGUUUAUGGAUUAAGAUAACUAAGUGAGAAACAUGAAAAUAAAUUUGUAGUUCAACUAUUUGACUGAGACAAAUUAAAGUUUGGUAAUUGAGAGUAACCCACACAUAAAUUUUACUGAUUUGCAAUAUCCAUUCUAAGUAAAUAGGAAUAGACGUUUCUAAUAAAUUUCAAAAAUGUAAUAACAUGUUAAUUAAAUAUACAUUUUUACUGAUUUGCAAUAUCCAUUCUAAGUAAAUAGGAAUAGACCCGUAGCUAGUUCACUUAUUAUUGACGCAAUCUAAAAUUCACGGCUUUCAAUCACUUGGAAAAAAUUUAGCUUUGCCAUGCAUGCGCUUAAAGUGCUCAGAGAAGAUUGUAAGAGAUGGUUAAAAGAUUAUUUAAGUAGCCUUUUUGUAAUCAACUUCAAGGAUUUUGUAUAGAUGUCCCAUAUAUUAUCAAUUGUAAAAUAUUUGUCAUUUUUUGCUCAAAAAUAUCCUUUUGGGCGUUAAAUGUCCAAGUUACCUUGUAGAUUCCUUUUUGAGUACAUAUAUUGCUCAUUAAUACUAAUUAAUGCCAUGUUUUGAUGUUUAACUUAUGUAAGAAAAGCCAUCAUGCACUUGGGAAAAAAAUAGGGAUGCAUGACCAACAAUGGAAGGAAACAGGAAAAUAAAUGUUUUGGUAACUUAAUAAAAAUAACACGUGAAAAUUGGAAUGGAAAUUUACGUGACUGUGUAAUCUGAAAUGUUGCACUAUAACAUAUGAGUUACAGUGAUCUUCAUAAAUAGCCAAACGCCUGGAAAGAUCUGAGAACGUGUAUAAACCACUAAGGAAUAUGAACAUCUAUUAUUGCCUAAUUAAUCUACUGUUACACAACUUAAUCACUAUAGAAAUUAAAUUAAAUCAUUAGUACGUACUUAGUAACCGCCAAGUUAAUGAGACCCCCAUUAAUUCACACAUUAAUUCAAGAAUUAUAACUAUCAGUCUCACCGAUUUGCUGUUGUUUGGUAUAAUUUAUUCGUAGGUGCCACUUGCAUGAUUUUAGAAGUCCAAUAUAUAAAUUGUGCUGAAUUUUUAUUAUUGAUAUCUCGAAUUUUUAGCUAUGAGUAAUAAUUUAAGAUUUAUCUUGUCGCAUGGAGGCGAGUUGGACACAAUCGGGCCACAUGUCCGAACCCGUUCUAGCACCAAACACGUACAAUUGAAUGAUAUUUAUGGCUUGAGGUUGUAUUUUGAACAUUACAAUUAUGUUGUUCGUUGUUUAUGUCAUAUUGUCGUUUUUGUGUUUGUCUCCUUUGAUCACUGGAAUUUAGGAGGUGGCGGUGGUGGUGGAGGUGGUGGUGGUGGUGGUGGAGGACUAGGGGGAGGGUCUGGUUUCGGAGAAGGAUUUGGUGGUGGGUUUGGAGGUGGUGCUCAAGGAGGAGGAGGAGGUUUUAUGUCAUAUUGUCGUUUUUGUGUUAUUACCGUUGCAGCUUUUAUUCUGGUACAAAAAACGUUCUACUUUUUACAAAACAUAAGAUUUCAUUAAUUGCGAGCUGUUAAGUAGUAAACGAAAUAAAAUAUCCAAACAUUAUGAUUGAUCAAACACGCAAUAUUAUGGUUAUAUAUUAGCACGUAAUUUUCAUUAAAAUUGGAAAAUUUAAAUCUAACCGAUAACAUGAAGCAUUAUUUGCUUACAUCAAGUGUCGUCGACAUUUGAACUUUCGCUCCCAUUGACUUCCUCCUCAUCGUCCAAGCUUAUGACAAUAACCUCGGGUGAUGAAACAUUACAAUAAGAGGAACCAUGUAUUCGAAAAAUAUCAUCGACUUUAUGGUCGAGUGAUUGAGAUAAUUGGCUAGAAACAUCAUCCAAGUUGGGAAAAAGGAAUUUAGUGAUAGUAUCAUUGAUCAUCCAUUAUUUACAAACAAUUCUUUAUAAAUGAUAUCAGGAUAGUUUGGCCGGCUACACAAUAAAAAUGUCUUUUCAUAGAUGAACAUGAACUAAACAAACAUAAAAAAUAAGUUUUUUGGCGUACACGUCAUAAUAUAACUUGGAAAUAAUAUGAAAAAUUAUAAAUCCAGAUGCAACACAUAGUUGUCCGAGUUAGUGAGUCCUAUUCGUACUAUUCUUCCAUCUCUUCCGAACACUCUUAGUGUAAGGAGUUCGAAAUCCAUCUAUAACUCCAUUAACAUAACAAAUUCUAAUGUAAGAAGAUUUAACAUGAAAUGAAUUCGUACGACACACAAAAAUAAAUUUUCAUUUUAUUAUAACUAGCUCGAUAGAUGUUAGUGGUACAAAUUUUGAAAUUCCCUAUGAGUUAACUAGGUAUAUGUGUGUGGACGUUCGUAGUGUGUUAUAACCGAAAGAGUGUGUUAUAACCGAAAGAAUUACGGGAAUUUAGUCUUCUAUCAUGGUGGAGAUGUAACAAAACGUAAUAUCCAAUUGUGUCCAAAAUUGCAUAUGAUCUACUAACACAUCCAAUAUCUACAAUGGCAUCGUAGGCUGCAUUUAGUUUUAAGUAGUUGGAUUUUAUCAAACGAAAAAUCUAGACUAAAAGAAGAUAUAUUGAAGGUUUUAAUAUGCUUAAAGGACUGAGAAUGUACAAAAUUACAUAUUCAAGAACAAAUUGACAGUAUCAUGGCUAAAGAGUUACAAUAGAUCCAAGUAUAAGAAUAUUGUAUGUUUUUAAAUUGAUUAAUUUUAAAAAAAUGUAAUUUUUUAAAUCUAUUUGUUUCAAGAAAAAUUAUAUACGAAAUAUUUUAUUCGUGUACAAUUUUAACUACGUCUACAUUGAUUUUAGCCGGUCUCAACCCCAAAACGGGAAGAGGGUCGCAACUUUUAUUUAAUUUAUAAUUCAUAUAAAUUGCACAAAUUUUAAAUUCUUUAAAAAACAUGAUUUUAGAAGUCCAAUAUAUAAAUUGUGCUGAAUUUUUAUUAUUGAUAUCUCGAAUUUUUAGCUAUGAGUAAUAAUUUAAGAUUUAUCUUGUCGCAUGGAGGCGAGUUGGACACAAUCGGGCCACAUGUCCGAACCCGUUCUAGCACCAAACACGUACAAUUGAAUGAUAUUUAUGGCUUGAGGUUGUAUUUUGAACAUUACAAUUAUGUUGUUCGUUGUUUAUGUCAUAUUGUCGUUUUUGUGUUAUUACCGUUGCAGCUUUUAUUCUGGUACAAAAAACGUUCUACUUUUUACAAAACAUAAGAUUUCAUUAAUUGCGAGCUGUUAAGUAGUAAACGAAAUAAAAUAUCCAAACAUUAUGAUUGAUCAAACACGCAAUAUUAUGGUUAUAUAUUAGCACGUAAUUUUCAUUAAAAUUGGAAAAUUUAAAUCUAACCGAUAACAUGAAGCAUUAUUUGCUUACAUCAAGUGUCGUCGACAUUUGAACUUUCGCUCCCAUUGACUUCCUCCUCAUCGUCCAAGCUUAUGACAAUAACCUCGGGUGAUGAAACAUUACAAUAAGAGGAACCAUGUAUUCGAAAAAUAUCAUCGACUUUAUGGUCGAGUGAUUGAGAUAAUUGGCUAGAAACAUCAUCCAAGUUGGGAAAAAGGAAUUUAGUGAUAGUAUCAUUGAUCAUCCAUUAUUUACAAACAAUUCUUUAUAAAUGAUAUCAGGAUAGUUUGGCCGGCUACACAAUAAAAAUGUCUUUUCAUAGAUGAACAUGAACUAAACAAACAUAAAAAAUAAGUUGUUUGGCGUACACGUCAUGAUAUAACUUGGAAAUAAUAUGAAAAAUUAUAAAUCCAGAUGCAACACAUAGUUGUCCGAGUUAGUGAGUCCUAUUUGUACUAUUCUUCCAUCUCUUCCGAACACUCUUAGUGUAAGGAGUUCGAAAUCCAUCUAUAACUCCAUUAACAUAACAAAUUCUAAUGUAAGAAGAUUUAACAUGAAAUGAAUUCGUACGACACACAAAAAUAAAUUUUCAUUUUAUUAUAACUAGCUCGAUAGAUGUUAGUGGUACAAAUUUUGAAAUUCCCUAUGAGUUAACUAGGUAUAUGUGUGUGGACGUUCGUAGUGUGUUAUAACCGAAAGAGUGUGUUAUAACCGAAAGAAUUACGGGAAUUUAGUCUUCUAUCAUGGUGGAGAUGUAACAAAACGUAAUAUCCAAUUGUGUCCAAAAUUGCAUAUGAUCUACUAACACAUCCAAUAUCUACAAUGGCAUCGUAGGCUGCAUUUAGUUUUAAGUAGUUGGAUUUUAUCAAACGAAAAAUCUAGACUAAAAGAAGAUAUAUUGAAGGUUUUAAUAUGCUUAAAGGACUGAGAAUGUACAAAAUUACAUAUUCAAGAACAAAUUGACAGUAUCAUGGCUAAAGAGUUACAAUAGAUCCAAGUAUAAGAAUAUUGUAUGUUUUUAAAUUGAUUAAUUUUAAAAAAAUGUAAUUUUUUAAAUCUAUUUGUUUCAAGAAAAAUUAUAUACGAAAUAUUUUAUUCGUGUACAAUUUUAACUACGUCUACAUUGAUUUUAGCCGGUCUCAACCCCAAAACGGGAAGAGGGUCGCAACUUUUAUUUAAUUUAUAAUUCAUAUAAAUUGCACAAAUUUUAAAUUCUUUAAAAAUAUAUUAGAAUUGUCACGAAUAAAAAAAAAAAAAAAAAAAAAAAACCGAUGUAGUCAAAUAAAUCAUUGUUAAAAAAAAAAAAAAAAAAAAAAGCAAGCUGACUCAGCAAGGCCUCGAGCUGAAAGCUCGGGUCGAGUCUAGAUUUUUUGGUCGAGCAAAAACUUGGCUCGGCUUAGGCCCAAAAAAGAUCCGAACAUUUUUACUCAAGUCAAGCCCAAACUUCUAGUUUCGGUUCGAUUCGGUUCGAUUCAGCUCGGCUCGGCUCAUUAACAUUCAUAUUUUCAACUUUUUAGUAUAAUUUUUUCAACUAGUAAAAUCAAAAAUUAACAAAUGACGUGUAAGGUAUUUAAAAUUUGUAGAAGUGCAAAAAAAUUCAAAACAUAUUUGUCAAAAUUAUUAAAGUGUGACAUUUUAUAAAUGUCAAUCCAAAAAGUGCCAUGGGUGCAAUUCCCUCUUUUACAUUUUGUAUGAAAUUUACUCUACUUUAUCAUUUACUUAUUAGCUCUAGUUAAUAAAUAAUAAAACAACAUUUCAAAUAUGAUAUCACUUGAAGUAUAUUGCGUGACAUUUUUCUAUUUGUUAACAAGAUUUGAUUUAAUAAGUUGUCAAAAUUUUGAUCGAGUGGCAGUAAAGAAGAAAGUCGAAGAGGGGGUAGCAAUCGCAAUUUGGAUGGAUGAUUUGUUUCCAAAUAUUCUAGAAAUUAUUUUAAAUUAUUCGGAGCAAUGGAUGUGAGGCUUUUCGAUAUUACUGAGAUAGAAAAGAAAAUAUAAUAGGGUUACAUUUCUUUGAGGUGGUACUGAAACCUCCAACUUAUUAUUAUUGAUUUACAGUUGUCGACCUUUUAAAAUUGUAUAAACUAAGUUCUUAUUAAACCCUUUUCUUUCAUUUACCCGUCAUAAAGUCCAAUUUUGAUUGAAACUCGAAUUAAAGACGGGGUUUUUUUUUUAUUUCUCUUUCUUUUUUUUAUUAAAUUUGGUUGUAUUUAUUGAGUUUAUCUUUCAAACAAAGUUUCGCUAUACAGAAUUUUUGGAAAAUUUACAAAAUAAACGUUAUGUUUAGGGCGUAUAUACAAUUUUCAUGUCAUAUUUUGCAAAUUUACGUUUUAUGUACCAUGUUUUAGUUAUCGGUAACAAAAAACAUAUUUGAUAAAUACGUUGAUAUUUAUCAUUUUUUUCCAUUAAACACAUUAUUUAUUUAUUUAUUGUGCUAAUAUAUGAUUCAUUAAUGGUUUUGGAAGCUUUUUACCCUCUGAUUCAAUCUAUUGAGAUUAAUCAUAUGUUGCAUCAAAUUGUCUACAUCAAUGAUAAACCUACCAAAAAUUAGUAUUAACUCUGCUAGGUAUAGCCGUAUAGGUCUUAAUAAUUUCUCUCCGACCAUACACAAGUCCCAUUCCCUUUGUCACUUUCAAUACCCACAAAAUCCUAUCACUGCAUUGAUUCAGAAUCUCCCCCAAAUCUCAAUCUACGGCUUUUGAACUGCCACAUAUAGACCACCUCGAGAAAUUUCAACCUAAGUUCCCUGUGUGACCAAGACAAUACAUCAUAGUCUAUUGCCUAGUAGGCUGCUCAGUCAACUUGACGACUGCCCGACAAAAGCAAAAAUUGACCAAUCCACAAAGGAGCCUCUCCGAAUGUAGUCGAGUGGGCCCUUUGCUUGAUCGUUAGAUGGAGAUUUACUUUUUAAAAGAUAUCUAUGAUCAGUUUAAAAAUGUAGUUGAUCAUCAAAUUUUUUAUCAACUUUUACGUUGUAAUCGAGGUUGAUCGAUAAGCUUUUUGUUCUACUAUCAUGUUGCGCCGAGGUCAGCCACAAAUCUUUUUAUAAUUGCUUGGGUGUCAGAAUACGCCACUUUUAUAUUCAUUGCAUUUUAAUGAAUGGAUAAGGAUACGCAUCUAUUCAUAUGUAACAACCUUCAUACCACGUCACCAAGAAAGAGGAUUACAAGAGUUUGCUAUGGAUAUGUUUGGAGUGUUUUUAAACCAUACUAUUUAUAGUUUUGUUAUUGUUUGCAUUUGUAAAGAAGAUUAUUGAUUUGGGAAGUUGUUUGCAAUUACACAUUAAGAAAAUAAAGUUGUUUGGGAUUACAUAUUAAGGAAAUAUCUUUAUUGUUAUACUUAAUAUUAAAAAUUGUAUAAUUUAUAUGGAUAUCAUUUUUUAGCAGAAAUUUUGUGAAAUGAACGGAAACAAAACAAAACUAUUUAUGUUUGAUUUCUUACGGUCUACUAAAAUAAUUUAGCAAAUAAAAAUGGAUUAAAAAUCAUAUCCGUUAUCAAACUUUUAAAAUAUGUAAUUUUAGUUGCUGUUUUUUACCAUUUUAGUAAAUUUAACUGUUUUGUUGAUACAUUUCGAUAUGUUGGUGACCUUGAUGAAAGUAUUAACUGCAAUUAAUAUACUGAUAAUAAUAUUAUUUUUUCCUAUAUGUAUCCACGGUCUAUAAUAUAAUAUUCAAUUAAUUAUUUCUAAAUAGUCCUUUAAUUCUAUAAUCAUGUGCUAUUAUAUACUAAUCACAAUGAUGUUCAUACUUGCCAUCUCAAAAUGAUUACACAUAAUUUUUGCUUGAGUGCAUUCAUUAGCAAAUAAGGAAUAUAGCAUUGAAAAUUUCCUAUGCUUUUGAUAAUUUAUCCAAGAUUAAAAAUCGGCCUUUAAAUAAUAUGGUAUGAUUUAAAUAUUACAUUUCCUCACAUAUCAAUGUGAUAGAGUAGUUUAUUGAAGAUUAAUGUUAGCUUAUUGCUUAAAAAAUAAAAAAUAAUCAUAUUUUCAAAUUUAGUUAGAUGAGAACAUAUUUAAUACACGAUAUCGACCAAAGAAGAUUAAAAGUUAAAACGUAUAUUCUGAUCUACCUAUAAACUGACUUCAUGUGUAAAUUGACCUAAAUGGACUUUAUUUGAGUUCAUUAGGCUUGGGUUUCUCAGUAAAUUAUCACUUCUAAUUUAAGUGUAUUAAUUUUCACAUUCACUCAAAUUUUCUAAAUUACAUAUGUUUUUCCUUUCUUAUACUUUUGAACUUCUUCAUGUCACCGUUUGUUGGUUAGUGUAUUAGAAAUGAUCUAAAUGAGAGACUCAUUAAACAUCACUCUACAUUUCUGCAUUUUUUCAAUUUUCAAUUUCAUUAUUUUUACUAUUAGCCACAAAAUUCAUUUUCCCUGCUUCAUGAUCUUCAACAACUCUGUAACAUUAAUUUUUUCCAACUCCAUAGUAACAACUCUUCCUUAAUUGUCUUUCGUAUAAGUCUGUACUUCGUUUACUUUUGUCCUAGACUCGUAUACACUGGCGAAUCCAACUUUUGGCAUGAACACAGGCUAAAAAAAAAUAUAUAUAUAUAUUACACAAAAAAAAUUUUUACUAAUUUUUAUUUUAUUUUAUUUUAUUCUUUUUCUUUUUUUAAAGAGGAAUUGGGAUGGACGGACGGAUUAUAGCACUGGCCUGCCCGUAUACUGAUUUCAGCCGGGCAACUUAAAAUGAUUUCAGCUGAGACUAACCUUUGUUCAUGUGUAAAAUGACUCAAACCAACUGAUUUUGGUUCUGGAGUGUUGGUCUUCCAGUUAAUUACUGCUUUCACUUGUAAUUUAACAAUGUUCAUAUUUAUUCAAAUUUCUCAAAUAACAUACGUUUUCACAUUCAUACUUGCAGCUUUUAACCAUUUUGUAUCAUUGUUUGUUGAUGAAAUAUAGUAGAGAUGAUCGAAAUGAAACACUUAUUAAACGUCACUAUGCAUUUUUUCAUCCUAAAACUUCGAUCUUCAUUAUUCCUACCGUUAGCCAUGGAACGCAUAUUAGUCGAUUUUCGGUCCUUGACAACAUUAUGAGACUUUUGUGUGUGCAAUCAGAUCAUCCUUUAUAGUUACAACUCUCUGUUAAAAGAAAUACUAGCAUAUCAAAAAUGUUUGUGACCUUAUGUAGAUUUCAUUUCAUCGAUAUACGAGGCAGCGACUUUAAUGUUCAUUUCCUCACUACUUGUUAAAUUUAUUCAUGUUGUAAAUGUUACUAGAGCCUCAUGACUUUUCUCAAUCAAUUUUAUUUUACAUUGUGCUAAAUCUAGUAUUAUUAUUAUUAUCAUUUGGCAGUUUUUUAACUAAAAAGAAUGUUUUUCAUUUUAUUUUAAUCAGUGGUAAAUUUAUUGUUCUGAUGGAUUCUCUGGAAACAUCUACCUCAUGAAGAGUCGGGUUGUUUUGAUUUUGACAAUAUUUCUCAAAGUACAAGUAAAUCAUUUAAUACUUUCAUUCGCCAAUAACAAAAUUGAAGAUAGAUAGAUAGGAUGAAUCGGGUUCAAAACGCAAGUGUUGAUCAUCUUAAAAGGGUAAAUGAUCUUAUGUUAUCUCGAAAUAAUAAUUCUGGUGUUGGCUAUAUACAUGAAUCUAUAAUACAUUUUCAUUUUGAGGGCUUCUAUUUCAAAUGAAGAACGGAUUAAUGUUUUUUAUUCUGAAUUACAUGGAAGUUUUGACAUGUUGAAUAUAUCAACUACUACAUAUGUAUUACUGACAUGUAUUGUAUGCAUGUGGUGCAUGCAAAUUUUUUCGAGAAACUAAAGGCUUUUGUUGCUCUAAUGGAAAAAUGAAACUUUUUUAUGCUUGAUUCACUAUGGCUGGAUCUAAGUUAUAAAAAGUUUAAUGGUACCAUUCCAGUUGCCAGCAACACUACGUUAGGUUUGGACAUGCUACUUAAUGCUAGACACUUCCAUGAAUUCUCUCUUAGAGUUAUAAAGCGUUUAGAAUUAUGUUUCUCCUUCAUUAUUGCUUUCUCCAUUCACAAGAAGUGAGUUUCAUUGUUCACAGCCAUUUGUCAAAUAAUCAACUUUCUGAAUCUAUCCCCAAUCAACUAUUCAGUUCAAACAUGAAGCUAAUACACUUAUCAGCAAGCUACCUAUCCUUGAUUCUAUUUCAUUUACUUAGUCGAUGAAAACUGAUAAUAUCUAUAAACAACAUGUCAUAGAAUUUGUAUAUUUUCUUUCGUAUGAAUAGAAAGAGAAACCCUUACGUUAUUUUUAUCAAAUAGGUGUUUGACUUUUACUUCAUUUCACCAUCUUAUUAGUCCUUUUCUUUUUCACGAGAAUUGCAAUUUAGUCAAUUUCUUUGCAAAUUCUAUUGGAAAUAUGCUCUCACAAAGAGGAAAAUGGAGAAGAAACAAAAGACAAAACCAAGAAAUCAAGGACAUUAAUUAAAGGAUAAAAAAGAAAAUUAAGAAGGCUUGAAUACGUUAUCGUUGUUCUCAAAUGAUAUUUGCCCCCUUCAAGAUGAAUUUGAUGCUUACAUGGAUCUUCGCAAAUGAUUCACAGGAAUUGUCAAGCCUUGAAGAAGAUUUAACACGUCAGCACUAGUGAUAUAUUCCAAAACUUGAGAACACAAAGAGAUGAAUAUGAUAGUAGAUUUUGCUCUUUUGUUGAAUGACAAUGUAAUCAUCAAAUUGAUUUUUCUCAUGUUUGUAAUGAAUGUCAAUAACCUAUAUAUAGACUUCAAUGAGUUCUCCACGAAUUGGUGCCAAAAAUCAAGUGAAAUGCCACUAGAAUUUAAAUAACAGCCGCCAUUAAUAGCAAGUUAUUAACAUUAUGCGAUCGCAGGCCAAACCUAUGCGACUGCAUAGUUAGUUCCAAGGCAAGGCCUUUAGGCCUUGCAUAUGAUCAUGCGACCGCAGGCCGAAAUGGCCUAUGCGGUCACAUUGUUACAAGUUUUGGCUUUAUUUCCACUUUUUCAUUCCAAACUUACUUUAUUGAUUUUGAACAACAUGUAACAAUUUCUUUUAUCGGCUUUAUUUCCACUUUUUCAUUCCAAACUUACUUUAUUGAUUUUGAACAACAUGUAACAAUUUCUUUUAUCAUUUUGUUUUUCUCAAAUUUAAAAUAUAUGUUAGAUACAUGAACAUAAAAUGUAUUGUGCAAGUGGCUAGUCUAAUGUGAAAGAUGGACUUCACCCGCCAAAUAUGACCGCCCUUCAUUUGACAACAAUCAAAGAUGCUCAUUACAAGGAAAAUAAGUUUAAAUGCUAGCUUAAUCUUUGUACAUGGAUUAAUAAUAAAGUCAUAUGAUAUGAUAUUAACCUUUCAUUUUCUUGCCUGUCGUUGAAUUCAUAUUCUCUCGCUUGUGUUUGUUGGUACCAUUGAUGGGGUAGUUAUGGUGUUGCGUAAUAAUUUUAUUUCUUCUAAAAUGAAGACUGUUGCCUUUGCUUUUAUGUACGCUCAAUUGAAUUUCUAUCUUCCAGAUUUCAACAUUAUUUUUGAUUUUUUAACAUUUUUUUUUCUUUCUUCCAUUGAACAAAAGAAAGGUUUGUGCACCAUGUACCUACAAAAAAAAUUGGGUUGAACAAAAGAAAGGUUUGUGCACCAUGUACCUACAAAAAAAAUUGGUCUUUUGCUAACGUUUUCCAGCAUAUGUAUGUUUUGUUCAUUGUGUUACAAUAAGAUCACAUGUUCUCUAUCAUUUUAAUCAUUUUAAUUUUACUUGAAUAUUAUCCUUACGAAAUUUGAUCAGCUAUUAUGUGAAGUUCUAUAAAAUGUGUGAAAACUCACUGAACUUUCAAAUAGUUUUAACUUCCCAUUAAUAUUACACAGUAACAUAACCUUCAAAAAUACCCGAUGUUACUAAGCAUCUUUAGUGCCAAUUUCUCGCAGAUUAGAAGGAAAUUGUCUUUAACUAGUGAGCUUUCAUUUUUGUCAUUUAGCUCUCUAAUGUGAUCAGUGGAAGUACACCUGUUGCAAUGGCAGGAAAGAAACUAAUGAAGAAUUCUUACACACAGAAAACAAAGUAAAAUUAUUUUGAAAUCACAAGGCUAAGUACUUUAUUAUUAUAUUUUUUUUAAUUAUUUUGAAGAGUACACCCAAUGUUAUUGUUCAUUUUCGCCAUCAAGCAUACCAAGACAUUUCUUGCUAAGCAUGUUUCGUGUUUGGUUCAUAAUGAAAAUUCGGCUCUUGUACUGAAAAGGAAUUAUUGUUUGAGAUUGAAGGUAUCUAUACUGUAGAAGAACAAGAAGUUGAGAACAACAAUGCCAAAAAGGCAAAUGAUGCUAACAAAUGUAGAUUCUGUUGCUGAGUCUGGCCAAAAGAUCUUGAUGCUCACAAAUGGGAGCCCCUCAGUGGACUGUGGACUCUCAAAGCUCCGGCUGAGAUAGCAACUCGCAUAUCACAAAAAAGACGUGGGAUCAUGAAAUAAUGGACAGCGAUUAUGGUCAGGAUUGGUUGAGUAGUGUCGAAGAAAUCACGUGGAAUACAAUGUUUCAGAAUUUGGAACCUACGUGAUAAAUAAACUGUAUUUCCCUUGUAAUAGUAAUAGAAAUCAACUUUUUUGGCCAUGUUCUUUAACCAGAAUUUCAGCUGUGGGAUUUGCAUUCAGUCCUCACUAGUGCAGUAUACAGUUUUAUUUCUCAUUUGUGUCCAAUAUAUGUUUACUUUUUUCCUUUCCAACCCAUAAAUACAAGAAUACAACAUAAGAAUGUCCAUAAAAAUCAAGAGGAUAGAAUCUGAAUACUAAAAUUAACGUUGAAGUAGUAUAGCACGUCCCAUCCAAGACAGUGGAUAGCUAGUAUCCAUUAUAUGUAUUAUCUUCAGUAUAGAUAGAAUAGACAGUAAAAAUUCAUCCUUUUCAUGAGGAACUCAAAAAACAAUGUAAUAUACAGAACACAUGCUUAUACAUGACCAAAUAAUUACCUAUACAGGUCUGCAAUAACUUGAAUACACAACUUUGAGAUGGGAGUGUAACUCGACCCCAAACUCUUUGAUGCCAAAAGACUUUUGUUAUCAAUGAUCAGAGCUUGCAGGCUGAUGGAAGGAACCUACAGCAUAACAGCAUUUGGUAAACUGGUCUUAUUCUGAAGGUCAGUAGAAUGCCCAAGAAAGUUCCCAAACCACAAACUCCAGCUAAAACAAGAAAUGUGAACCUAAAGAAAUUAGGACCCAUGCAAGACGACACUUGCUGCUUAGCUGCCUGUGUGUCGUAUACAUGACCGGCAAGCCAAUGUGAGAAGAGAAAUGCAAAAGCUGGAUUUCCAAGAUGCAUGAAGUUGAAUGUUAAUCCAAAGCGUCUCAACCCAAAAAGCUCCGAUGUAGUUGGAAUCAUAAUGCGAAAUUGAGCACCGUAGCAAAUUCCAAGCAAUGCUGUUGCAGCAUAGAGAGUGGGACUGAGAGCUGAAGCAUAUAGAAGAAAUGUUAAGAUCAUGAUUGUUUGUGCUACUGUCAUCCAAAAUGUUCGAGGAAUCAUUUUUGACAUGCAAUCGCGCAUAACAUUAAGCCGUCAGAUAAUGGUGUUACAAAAACUAAAAUAAGGAAGCUGUCACAAACAUUCCAUAUUGCAUGACAAGAAAUCAAGUUGCAGGUGCAUACGGGUUUUGAAAGAAAUAAGAAAAAGAGCUAAUAGUAAUUAAUUUUCCCUUUAUCCCCUCAGUUGCCAUCUACAUUUAAAAAUGUUUUAUUUACAGUUAAUUGUUCCUCAAUAUUCUUGCUUUAUAAAUGGCGAUUAUACCAGAGAUUCAAUCAGAAAAUGUAGAGAAACAGGGACAUGAGUAUAUGCUGUUUUAAUCAAUGAAAGAUAUUGAAUCAAUCAUGGCAAAAAUACGAUAACCAUUCAUUUCCUUUUUGACAGGUAAAUGAAUUAUGUAUUUAGAGUAUAAUCAUAGUAUACAUUUUGUGUAACUUGUGGGAUUAAAAAUUCCUUAUUUGGCCGAUGCGGAAGUCUGUCUUUACUGAUUUCAAUUAAGAUAAUAUAUAAAAGUCAGAGUCAUUUUUCUUCAAAUGUUCAAUUAAAAAUUCCUUAUCAUAGCAAAAAUAAUCACUCAGAAGUCUGUCUUUACUGAUUUCAUGUUAAAUCCAUAGUUGCAAUCAUUUAAAAAUGAUUUUUCCAACUUCUGCUUUCUCACUUUAUAUGUAAAUACACUGCACAAGCAUUCAUUCAUUAAACAAAACCACUCAGCAGCACUCGGAAGCAAGAAAUUCAAAGAAAAUGAAAUGCAUAUGGCAAAACGAAAAUGCCAAUGAUAAAAGAAAUUCCUACUGUAACAUCAAUUGGCCGCAUGUAGAUGAACAGGAAAUACCCAAUCACAAACCCAUCUUCGAAAACCGAAGGCACAUUAAAAAACCCAGAUAAAUACACAUUAAACCCGUCAUUUCUUGAAUAAAACCCAGAAAAGAAAAAUUAAAAAGGCAAUGAUACGAAUCUAUUGUAGUUAACCCAUGUGUUGUAGAUAAAUAAUGUUGCAAAAUAAAAUGAUGAGAAAUUGAAGGUAAACUGCAAAAUCUUACCAAGAUAUGAGAGGAAUUCCAGCACGCACAAACUGAAGAAAGGGAUUGGAGAAGAAUAAAUGAAGAGAAUUGAAAAGGUCGUGAUUUCUUAGGAUGGUUGGAAUUUCAUUUUGUUCUUUACAAAUGUAAGGGUAAUAUUGGAAUUUUAAAUUUUCAUUAAACUAGAAAACUGACUUCCCUCCUUUUUCUAGAAUAACUUUUAGAGGAAAUCGCUUUUCAAUUAGAAGAAGUCAUUUUAUAAAAUUAGCCAAACGGGUCCAAAAGCACUUUUGGACCACAAAAGCUCCUUCUAUUUUCUGAAAAGCUAUCCCAAAUGAGCCCUAGAAAAAGAGAAUAUCUCAAGAAGUAUUUCGAGGGAGAAAUUUUUGAAUUGUUCUAAAAUUCAACGCUCUUGUCCCUAUACGUUCACGGCUCUAUAUAUACAACAGCCAUCCUAGAACCAUCGAAAAAAAUUUAGAAGCUUAUUUGGCAAAACUUAAAUUAUAAUUUAAUCUAGUCAAAGCACUACAAAAAAAAAGGCACUAGUCUGGUUCGGUUCUUAAACCCGAAUUUUCAAGUAUUUAGUAAAUGGAACUGUCAUGUCCAAAUUUAAUUAUGGAACCUUUCGGGUUCGAUUCCAUUAUGUUCGGUUCGAUUUGAUUCUACUUGGCUCUUGGGUUCCAUGCAAUAAUGAAUUUUUUUAAUAUUUACAAUAACGUUACAUUAAUUCAAUUAAUGAUAUUUUUAAUUUUAACUCUUACAAAAUAAUGUAGUCCAAUCAUCCUCUCUUCGUUGAGUUCUUCAUAGAUUUAAUUGUUAAAAUCAUAGAAAGUGGAAGAUAGCGAGCUCACAAUAAUGAAGAGAGGUAUAGCCGAGUUUUCAAUUCAAUUUCCUCAAAAUUGUAGAAACAAGAAUACAGUAAAGUAAUAGAUUUAGUGAAUUUAAGUCAAUUUGAUUAAAUUGAGCUUGGGCUGAAAAUUAGAAAUAGGAAAAUCAUAUUUUUUAUUUGGGAUAUAAUUAGUUAACAAAUUUAUUUAGAAAAAAAUAAAAUAUUUUGAGUUGUUUAAGAUAAAUAAAUUAAAAAAUAGAAAAAUUCAGUUCUUAUUCGAUAAUUUAGUUCUUGGUCCAAAAUUGAGAACUGAAUUGAAUCCGUCGAUUUUCAAUUCAAAUACCCAUUCAUGAAUUUAUCUUAAUAAGAAUCGCUUGGGUCAAUUUGGUUCAAGUCCAAUCCGAUUCGAUUUGGGAGUUAUAUCCAAUUCUAAUUGUAAGAAAGAGAAUCGUGAUUACUUACUGAGUAUUCAGAAACGACUCUAGACCCAAGGUGACCUAAAAAUUUGCAAAAGCUGAACCAACUUAACAAUAUGGUCGUAUCAUUCACACCAAGCGAAUCUCCAAUCUGUGCCAAAUUAUUAAGGACAGUUACUCCAGAACCAAACCCAAGAAAGUAAACAGUCCAUGGGAGCCAAAAAUCAGCCUUCACUAUAUCUUCAGGGAAUUUGAAGUCUUCUCCUCUCCUAGGUUUCUUCUUCUUCUUCUUCACCGCUCCCUCAUCCACGGCAAGAGGAAUAUCCACUUCUGAGAUAUCUUCGCUCUCAUAGAAACUUCCAAGACAUUCUGCUGAUGAAGAUGGAUUCAGCAAAGGACAUGUCAGGGUCGAACCACCGUCGUCACUAUCAGAUUGGCUAGGUUUCUUAUGAUUAGCAGGGAAUAAUGUCAUUUUUAAUGGUAUUGCUAGAGGAGCCAUCAAAAGAAUGACCACUAUGGAGACAAAUAUGUAGGAGAUGGUGUUACCUAGGAGUAAUGCGCCUUUUAAAAUUGUCGUUGUGAGGAGAUAAAUUCUGAGGGACAGACGGGUUCCUUAAGUGAAACGAAAAUAAGCAUGCUCCGAAGAGUCUUCAGAAGCUGGACUACAAGGCCGGAUAAAAUACAUCAUUGCAAAACAUAUGAUGGGAAUGCCCAGCGUUAGGAGUAGUAAUAGGUUUGAAGCUGACCCAUUAAGCACCAUACUGUAAACCUCUGUAUAAACUGCAUCACUGAACCCAACAUAACCUUUUAGUAGUCCAGCAACUGUUCCUCGAUUGUGAGGAAAAUUCCUCAUGUUGGUAACCCAACAAGUACUGCCAUACCAAGCCAUGCACUACUGUUAGUGGCAACACAUAGUACAAUCCACAGCUGUCAGAGUAUCAAAUAUUAAGUUAGAAGAGAUCUGUCACUGCCUGAAAGGGAACUAAAAUGGUGAUGAAGGUAAAAUCUGAACUUUGUUCAAAACAUUGUGCCAAAUAAAUAAAGAGACAUCGUUAUUCUAACUGGUUAGAUAGUGAUUAGUAGAAACUUACAAAAUGGUUCUAGAUGGUUGUGUAGUGAUUUUCAGUUAACAAGAUGUGGAUGUUAUGAAGUGGGCAGUUAGUAGACUAUUUGCAAUGAUUAGAUAGAAAGGAAAUUUGUUAUCUACCAUUUACAUGUAGAUUAUAUUAUGUAGUCAUCUUUCAGGUGAUGCAUGCAUGAAGAAGGAAGAUGAAGAUGGUGGUGAUAGCAAAAUAACCACUAUCCGAAAUUAUUUAACUGUUAAACGAUACAAAUUAACUAGCAAUUUGAGGAAGUGAAGAAUAUAAGCUCAGAGGCUGUUGUGAAUUAAUGCUGAGUAGCAAUCACAAGAUGAUCUCAAGAAAAAAUCUGGUUUUUGGAUAAUAAGAAAUCAUUGACCAACUCUUCGUGAAACGUAACACAUCUAGAUCUGAUGAUGACCACCCAAUGUGGCUGUAGGGCCACCGCCACAUGUUCCAAUGAAGUUGGAAUGCAUUUUUAUUCAUUGGACAUUGUGGAAGGGGUCGUCUGCGAUGUUGGACGGUGAUCAUCAACCAUGAUGACGAAUAGAAAUGUUUGUUUCCUAUACAAGUUAGUCGAGAAUCAAGAUGGAAUUGUGGGUGUAGAGCAAGAACAAAUCUUUAAAAGAGAGUUUAAGUUGUUGCAACUCUUGUAAUCAAUCUUCAAAUCUUCAUAACAAAAUUCAAUUUGCAUCAAUAUUUAUUUUUCUUCAAUAAAUCCCACAGCUUAUAUGAACUACCAUACUCACUACAAAUUUAUUAGAAUCUUUCUAAAUAGGAUCGAGUUCGGUGCACUCUCCAAACCAAAGAAAUAUAGCUAUAUAAGGGUUCUGUUUUACAAUGGAAAGCAAGUUUUAGUUGCAUAAAUAAUUUAUAAUAUGCAAAGCAGAACAAAUUUGAUGAGAUAGAAACUAAAACAUGCUUUUGCUCGAAAAAAAUAACACAAAAUCAGAAAAAGAAAUCAUUUGUAAACAUGUCGAGGGUAAAACCAUACAUCCCAAGUCUUAAUAGAGGGGGAAAUGCAGAACUUACAACCCAAUAAGGCAGGGACUGAACAGUUUGGCUAACAGAAAGAUAAAGAACACCAUAGCCCAAGAAAGAGGCCAAAGCACCCACAAGAAGAACAGCCCGUGGUGGGAAUUUGUUGCAGGCUAUGACUGGAAGAAUCUCAACAUUCUCCCCAAUAUCAUUUGCCACUCCAAGAAAGGUCAACUGUUUCUGGUUGAAGCCGAGAACUGAUUUCAGUGAAGGAGAGUAUAAAGGAAAAGUAUAGGCACUCCCUGCUGCUAUUUCUGCCCGAACUGCAGCGCCUAAGCCCACCCAUGGUGGCUCCAUUCUUCUGGGAAGAUUCUUUGAUAGAAAUUCUUGUUGUUACUUAGCUCAACGCCGAAAUAUAUACAUAAACAGAAAAAAGAGUGUGCGUGAGACGGAUUGUUGGGACUGGAAAUUUUUGUGGGAGACGGGCAGUAAUUGUGUAUUGUCUGUAAUAAAGACCAAACACAUACCAUCAUGCACUUGGGAAAAAAAUAGGGAUGCAUGACCAACAAUGGAAGGAAACAGGAAAAUAAAUGUUUUGGUAACUUAAUAAAAAUAACACGUGAAAAUUGGAAUGGAAAUUUACGUGACUGUGUAAUCUGAAUUGUUGCACUAUAAUAUAUGAGUUACAGUGAUCUUCAUAAAUAGCCAAACGCCUGGAAAGAUAUGAGAACGUGUAUAAACCACUAAGGAAUAUGAACUUACACUAAUUAAUAACUAUAAAAAUUAAAUUAAAUCAUUAGUACGUACUUAGUAACCGCCAAGUUAAUGAGACCCCCAUUAAUUCACACAUUAAUUCAAGAAUUAAUAAACUUUAAUGCAAAUAACUGAUAUUCAAGCUAUAAAAUCCCUUUUCUGUGUCCUAAAUUCUCAUCAAUCAAAAAUCUAUCUUUUACUUACAAAUUGAGAUGACUUCCAAAUUUGUUCUCUUGGUUCUUCUUGGGGUUCUUAUUUGCACCACCACUGCGAGAAAGCUAGUUGACUCAGAUGAUCCUGUCAAUGAUAAAAAUGUCUCCUUUGAUCACUGGAAUUUAGGAGGUGGCGGUGGUGGUGGAGGUGGUGGUGGUGGUGGAGGAGGUGGAGGACUAGGGGGAGGGUCUGGUUUCGGAGAAGGAUUUGGUGGUGGGUUUGGAGGUGGUGCUCAAGGAGGAGGAGGAGGUUUUGGUGGUGGAGGCGGUGGUGGAGGCGGAUUGGGUGGAGGAUCUGGGAGUGGAUUUGGAUUUGGUGCUGGCUAUGGCGGUGGAAUGGGAGGUGGAGAAAUCCCUUAAGUAAUUAAAGAAGUUUCAGUCCCAUACAUUUCCAAUUCAUACCUAGUGAUCAUUUUCAUGAAUCAAUUAAAAAUAAAGUACUAGAUUGCAUAAGUUUAAUGUAAGGUUCAUUUUGUUGAUUAAUAUAUUUGAAUAAAUUUGAUCACGAUAUGCAUUAUUUACAGUAAAUCCGCAACUUUAAUAUAAAUUUCAUUAUGCAAAUUGUUUCAUGUUUAAUAGAUAGUUUUCUUUCAGUAAUUGAAGAGACGAGAAAGAAUUCUUAUUUUAGUAUGAGAACUACAUAAAAUAAUUUCAUCUUCUAAGCAAUCGAAGAGUAAUGGUCCCUUAAUAGUCAAGCCAACCUAAUAUGCCCCUAAGUAGAAGUUAUGUAUCGCAUGUUAUAAUUUAGAAGUAGGAAGCCGUUGGCAGGCAGUGAGCCAUCCCUAGAGAUCAAUAAAUAAUGUUAACCCAAAAGGAAUUUAUCGAGGUUCGAAGUUUCGUAUAUUUAAAACAAAAAAUGCAUUUAAUAAAUUAAGUUGAAAAAAAAAAAUCACCCGCAAAAUCAAUCAUUAUUAUCAAGUGUUGAGUAUUUUCAGCCAAAUGAUUUAACAUUCUAGUAGGCUUGUGAUGUUUAGUUUAUGGAUUAAGAUAACUAAGUGAGAAACAUGAAAAGAAAUUUGUAGUUCAACUAUUUGACUGAGACAAAUUAAAGUUUGGUAAUUGAGAGUAACCCACACAUAAAUUUUACUGAUUUGCAAUAUCCAUUCUAAGUAAAUAGGAAUAGACGUUUCUAAUAAAUUUCAAAAAUGUAAUAACAUGUUAAUUAAAUAUACAUUUUUUUAUCUAAAUAUUUAGCAGGACCAUGCAAGCGCUUAAAGUGCUCAGAGAAGAUUGUAAGAGAUGGUUGAAAGAUUAUUUAAGUAGCCUUUUUGUAAUCUACUUUAAGGAUUUUGUAUAGAUGUCCCAUUUAUUAUCAAUUGUAAAAUAUUUGUCAAUUUUUCAAAAGGUACUCAAAAAUGUCCUUUUGGGUGUUAAAUGUCCAAAUUACCCUUGUAGAAUCCUUUUUGAGUACAUAAAUUGCUCAUUAAUACUAAGUAAUGCCAUGUUUUGAUGUUUAACUUAUGUAAGAAAAAUCUAUGAAUAAAUUUAAUAUACAAUAAAUAAUAGAAAUUUUAGACAAGAAACAAAAAUAAAAAUUAUCUCAUAAUCUUUUCUUCAGGUGCUAACCAUAAAUAUUAAUAGUUCAACUGUCGAACUAGAAUGUGAAGAUUGAUAGUUAAAAUGUCGAACUCGACACUUACUAAAUGUUAGGAAAUACAUUUGAACUAUCAGCCUCACUGGUUUGCUACUGUUUGGUAUAAUUGAUUUGUAGGUGCCACUUGCAUGAUUUUAGAAGUCCAAUAUAUAAAUUGUGCCGAAUGUUUAUUAUUGAUAUCUCGAAUUUUGAGCUAUGAGUAAUAAUUUAAGAUUUAUCUUGUCGCAUGGAGGUGAGUUGGACACAAUCGAGUCACAUGUUCGAGCCCGUUAUAGCACCAAACACAUAAAGUAGAAUGAUAUUUAUGGCUUGAGGUUGUAUUUUGAACAUUACAAUUAUGUUGUUCGUUGUUUAUGUCAUAUUGUCGUUUUUGUGUUAUUACCAUUGUAGCUUUUAUUUUGGUACAAAAAACGUUCUACUUUUUACAAAACAUAAGAUUUUAUUAAUUGCGAGCUGUUAAGUAGUAAAUGAAAUAAAAUAUCCGAACAUAAUGAUUGAUUAAACACGCAAUACUAUGGUUAUUUAUUAGAACGUAAUUUUCAUUAAAAUUAGAAAAUUUAAAUGUAACCGAUAACAUUAAGCAUUAUUUGCUUAUGUCAAGUUUCAUCGACAUUUGAACUUUCGCUCCCAUUGACUUCCUCCUCAUCAUCCAAACUUAUGACAAUGACCUCGGGUGAUGAAACAUUACAAUCAGAGGAACCAUGUAUUCGAAAAAUAUCAUCGACUUUAUGGUUGAGUGAUUGAGAUAAUUGGCUAGAAACAUCAUCCAAAUUAGAUAAUUGGUUGAGUGAUUGAUUUUUUUAACAAAUGUUAUGUCAGUACUUUAAAAGAAACUCCCCAAGUGCAACACAUAAAUCAAAUUUUCUAAUCCACAAUGACCAUUGAAUGAACCACAUUGCAACCAAUUGAAUCAACCAUAGCAUGAAACAUAAAAUGAACCACAUUACCUAAGCUAUGAAUCAACAGAUUGAACCACAUUGCAACAAGUUGAACAUAUCCAAAAAAUCAACUUUCAUUACUAAACCUACAAUGAACAUGUAUAUUCUAAUAAAUCACAAUUAAAAUGUAUAUUCUAAUAAACCAAAAACUCAACUUACAUCCAAGAACACCCUAAAUCCCUUACAAGAAUUUAAUUCAUGAGAAAAUAAACAACAAUGGACAUGUAUAUUCUAAUUUCAAGGCAAACCUACCACCUAUUAGAGACAAAAAUACAACUUCCUAAAAAAAUCCAAAUUUUUUGGCCAAAGAUUCAACAUUUUUGAAUAAUAUUAAAAAAUUCAAAAAUCUUAAACCUUAGUUAAUGGAAAAAUGGGAGAUGAACAUACCUUAUGUUAAAAUGAGAGUUGAUUUGGGGGAUACAAACUUUUUGUUCUCUGUCAAUUUCGAUAUAUACUAUGGAAGGAAAAAUCAACCACUUGAGAAUGAAGUGAAAAAUGAGGUAAAUGGGGUGUUUUAUCGAUCAUGGGAGUGACAUAAGUUAGAGUUUUAUUUUUAAACAAUGGAGGAGGAUACGAGGAAGAAGAAGAGAAAAUUUCAAUAAUGGAGGUUGGUUGUGAGUUUAGUACAUGGGUGGGAGUGGGGAUAGGGGGUGAUGUUUUCAACUAGGGAUGUAAAUUUGGUUCGUUGGCUCGAACAGUCUAUAACACGGCUCAAGAAAAGCUUGAAACGACCUAACUCGUGGCUUGGAAGAACUGAGCCAAGGCUUGAGUCGAACACCAUUUUGGGGCGUUGACUCGAGCUCGAGCCAACUCGAGUGGCUCGACGAUCCACACGGGCCAGCCCAUAACGAGCCGAGCCUUAGGAUAAAAAAAAUGCCCACAAGCAACAUGAAUAUGAAAAAAAUGAUAACAAUAAAAUUUAAAUGAAAAAACUGCCUUAAAACAGAUAGCUACAGUAGCUGCCUGUUUAACUACGCAUGUUAUGCCAGAUUGAAAUUUGAAAUUCAAAUGUCAAAUUUUAAUUUCAAAUUUAGUUGAGUCGAUUAUAUAUUUUUGCUAUAAAUAUGAGUUAAAUUUUUGAAUUUCAUAUCAAUUUUUUCCAUCAAUUGUAACUUGCAGUAUUCUAGUUUCAACUUCAAUUUUCAAUUUUUUUGCUCUAAUAUUCAAUUUCGAUGCCACAAAGGAAUAUAAGGGUGUUUAUUAUUUGACAUUGUUACUUGUUUUACAACACUUUUUCUACAUUUCACAAACAUUUCAUAAAUUUAGGAAUUUGACAAUUUUUGUUGAUGUAGUCUAGCUUAUGGAGUUAAAAUUUUGUAAAUCUUGGGAAGAAUUGCCCUCUUUAUUUUUUAGUUUCAGUGAUGGACACUUAUUAAUUUAACUAGCACAAAACUAUUAUAAAGGAAAUUUAAAAUUUCAUAAAUGUGGAAUUAUCACAUGUGUAUAUAUAAUCAAUAUUAAGUAAAAUGUGUAACUAUUAUGUUGAAAAAGAAGAUUAGUGUAGCUCUACUCCCCAAGGUUCUUUUUUAAGAAAUAUUUCAACAAAUUCAUAUGGUAUAUGGAAUUAUUUGGAUACCAAUACACGUGUUUUCUCAUAUAGUUCUACUUCAUCAAUAUCUAGCGCGAUAGAGAUUAGUGGUACAAAUUUUGAAAUUCCCUAUGAGUUAACUCGGUAUAUGUGCAUGGACGUUCGUAGUGUAUUAUAACCGAAAGAAUUAUGGAUAUUUAGUCUUCUAUAAUGGUGGAGAUGUAACAAAAGGUAAUAUCCAGUUGUAUCCAAAAUUGCAUAUGAUCUACUAACACAUCCACUAUCUACAAUGGCAUCGUAGGCUGCAUUUAGUUUUAAGUAGUUGCAUUUUAUCAAACGAAAAAUCUAGACUAAAAGAAGAUAUAUUGGAGGUUUUAAUAUUCUUGAAGAACUGAGAAUGUACGAAAUUACGUAUUCAAGAACAAAUUGACAGUAUCAUGGCUAAAGAGUUACAAUAGAUCCAAGUAUAAGAAUAUUGUAAGUUUUUAAAUUGAUUAAUUUAAAAAAAAUGUAAUUUUUUAAAUCUAUUUGUUUCAAGAAAAACUAUAUACGAAAUGUUUUAUUCGUGUACAAUUUUAACUACGUCUACAUUGAUUUUAGCCGGUCUCAAGCCCGAAAAGGGAAGAGGGUCGCAACUUUUAUUUAAUUUAUAAUUUGAAUAAAUUGCACAAAUUUUAAAUUCUUUAAAAAAUAUAUUAGAAUUGUCACGAAUUUUAAAAAAAAAAUGCAAGCUAGCUCAGCAAGGCCUUGAGCUGAAAACAUGAGUCGAGUCUAGAUUUUUUGGUCGAGCAAAAACUCGGCUCGGCUUAGGCCCAAAAAAGCUCCAACCAUUUUUACUCAAACCAAGCCCAAACUUCUAGUUUCGGUUCGGUUCGGCUCGGCUCAUUAACAUUCAUAUUUUCAACUUUUUAGUAUAAUUUUUUCAACUAGUAAAAUCAAAAAUUAACAAAUGACAUGUAAGGUAUUUAAAAUUUGUUGAAGUGCAAAAAAAUUCAAAACAUAUUUGUCAAAAUUAUUAAAGUGUGACAUUUUAUAAAUGUCAAUCCAAAAAGUGCCAUGGGUGCAAUUUCCUCUUUUACUUUUUGUAUGAAAAUUACUCUACUUUGUCAUUUACUUAUUAGCUCUAGUUAAUAAAUAAUAAAACGACAUUUCAAAUGUGAUAUCACUUGAAGUAUGUUGCAUGACAUUUUUCUAUUUGUUAACAAGAGUUGAUUUAAUAAGUUGUGAAAAUUUUGAUCGAGUGGCAGUAAAGAAGAAAGUCAAAGAGGGGGGUAGCAAUCGCAAUUUGGAUGGAUGAUUUGUUUCCAAAUAUUCUGGAAAUUACUUUAAAUUAUUCGGAGCAAUGGAUGUGAGGUUUUUCGAUAUCACUGAAAUAGAAAAGAAAAUAUAAUAGGGUUACAUUUCUUUGAGGUGGUACUCAAAUCUCCAACUUAUUAUUAUUGAUUUACAGUUCUAAUUAUCACUUCUAAUUUAAGUGUAGUAAUUUUCACAUUCACUCAAAUUUUCUAAAUUACAUAUGUUUUUCCUUCCUUAUACUUUUGAACUUCUUCAUGUCACCGUUUGUUGGUUAGUGUAUUAGAAAUGAUCUAAAUGAGAGACUCAUUAAACAUCACUCUACAUUUCUGCAUUUUUCAAUUUUCAACUUCAUUAUUUUUACUAUUAGCCACAAAAUUCAUUUUCCCUGCUUCAUGAUCUUCAACAACUCUGUAACAUUAAUUUUUUCCGACUCCAUAGUAACAACUCUUCCUUAAUUGUCUUUCGUAUAAGUCUGUACUUCGUUUACUUUUGUCUAGCUCACAGGCUUAAGCUUUUGUUUGAUUUUUGCUUUUAAUGUUUUCAUGAGGAUUAGAGGAAGUUGAUAUGGAUAUAUAAAUUAUUCGGAGCAAUGGAUGUGAGGUUUUUCGAUAUCACUGAAAUAGAAAAGAAAAUAUAAUAGGGUUACAUUUCUUUGAGGUGGUACUCAAAUCUCCAACUUAUUAUUAUUGAUUUGCAGUUGUCCACCUUUUAAAAUUGUAUAAACUAAGUUCUUGUUAAACCCUUUUCUUCCAUUUAUCCGUCAUAAAGUCCAAUUUUGAUCGAAACUCGAAUUAAAGAUGGGGUUUUUUUAUUUCUCUUUCUUUUUUUAUUAAAUUUGGUUGUAUUUAUUGAGUUUAUCUUUCAAACAAAGUUUCGCUAUACAGAAUUUUGGGAAAAUUUACAAAAUACACGUUAUAUUUAGGGCGUAUAUACAAUUUUCAUGUUAUAUUUUGAACAUUUACGUUUUAUGUACUGUGUUUUACUUAUUGGUAACAAAAAAACAUAUUUGAUAAAUACAUUGAUAUUUAUCAUUUUUUUUCCAUUAAACAAAAUUUUUUUUUAUUUUUUGGGUGCUAAUAUUUGAUUCAUUAGUGGUUUUUGCCCUCUGAUUCAAUCCAUUGAAAUUAAUCAUAUGUUGCAUUAAAUUGUCUACAUCAAUGAUAAGCCUACCAAAAAUUAGUAUUAACUCUGUUAGGUAUAGGUCUUAAUAAUUUCUCUCCGACCAUACACAAGUCCCAUUCCCUUUGUCACUUUCAAUACCCACAAAAUCCUAUCAGUGCAUUGAUUCGGAAUCUCCCCCAAAUCUCAAUCUACGGCUUUUGAACUGCCACAUAUAGACCACCUCGAGAAAUUUCAACCUAAGUUCCCUGUGUGACCAAGACAAUACAUCAUAGUCUAUUGCCUAGUAGGCUGCUCAGUCAACUUGACGACUGCCCGACAAAAGCAAAAAUUGACCAAUCCACAAAGGAGCCUCUCCGAAUGUAGUCGAGUAGGCCCUUUGCUUGAUCGUUAGAUGGACAAUUACUUUUUAAAAUAUAUCUAUGAUCAGUUUAAAAAUGUAGUUGAUCAUCAAAUUUUUUAUCAACUUUUACGUUAUAAUCGAGGUUGAUCGAUAAGCUUUUUGUUCUACUAUCAUGUUGCGCCGAGGUCAGCCACAAAUCUUUUUAUAAUUGCUUGGGUGUCAGAAUACACCACUUUAAUAUUCUUUGCAUUUUAAUGAAUGGAUAAGGAUACACAUCUAUUCAUACGUAACAACCUUCAUACCACGUCACCAAGAAAGAGGAUUACAAGAGUUUGAUAUGGAUAUGUUUGGAGUGUUUUUAAACCAUACUAUUUAUAGUUUUGUUAUUGUUUGCAUUUGUAAAGAAGAUUAUUGAUUUGGGAAGUUGUUUGCGAUUACACAUUAAGAAAAUAAAGUUGUUUGGGAUUACAUAUUAAGGAAAUAUCUUUAUUGUUAUACUUAAUAUUAAAAAUUGUAUAAUUUAUAUGGAUAUCAUUUUUUAGCAGAAAUUUUGUGAAAUGAACGGAAACAAAACAAAACAAUUUAUGUUUGAUUUCUUACGGUCUACUAAAAUAAUUUAGCAAAUAAAAAUGGAUUAAAAAUCAUAUCCGUUAUCAAACUUUUAAAAUUUGUAAUUUUAGUUGCUGUUUUUGACCAUUUUAGUAAAUUUAACUGUUUUGUUGAUACAUUUCGAUAUGUUGGUGACCUUGAUGAAAGUAUUAACUGCAAUUAAUAUACUGAUAAUAAUAUUAUUUUUUCCUAUAUGUAUCCACGGUCUAUAAUAUAAUAUUCAAUUAAUUAUUUCUAAAUAGUCCUUUAAUUCUAUAAUCAUGUGCUAUUAUAUACUAAUCACAAUGAUGUUCAUACUUGCCAUCUCAAAAUGAUUACACAUAAUUUUUGCUUGAGUGCAUUCAUUAGCAAAUAAGGAAUAUAGCAUUGAAAAUUUCCUAUGCUUUUGAUAAUUUAUCCAAGAUUAAAAAUCGGCCUUUAAAUAAUAUGGUAUGAUUUAAACAUUACAUUUCCUCACAUAUCAAUGUGAUAGAGUAGUUUAUUGAAGAUUAAUGUUAGCUUAUUGCUUAAAAAAUAAAAAAUAAAAAAUAAAUCGUAUUUUCAAAUUUAGUUAGAUGAGAACAUAUUUAAUACACGAUAUCGACCAAAGAAGAUUAAAAGUUAAAACGUAUAUUCUGAUCUACCUAUAAACUGACUUCAUGUGUAAAUUGACCUAAAUGGACUUAUUCGAGUUCAUUAGGCUUCGGUUUCUCAGUAAAUUAUCACUUCUAAUUUAAGUGUAUUAAUUUUCACGUUCACUCAAAUUUUCUAAAUUACAUAUUUUUUUUUCCUUUCUUAUACUUUUGAACUUCUUCAUGUCACCGUUUGUUGGUUAGUGUAUUAGAAAUGAUCUAAAUGAUAGACUCAUUAAACAUCACUCUACAUUUCUGCAUUUUUCAAUUUUCAACUUCAUUAUUUUUACUAUUAGCCACAAAAUUCAUUUUCCCUGCUUCAUGAUCUUCAACAACUCUGUAACAUUAAAUUUUUCCAACUCCAUAGUAACAACUCUUCCUUAAUUGUCUUUCGCAUAAGUCUGUGCUUCGUUUACUUUUGUCUAGCUCACAGGCUUAAGUUUUUGUUUGAUUUUUGCUUUUAAUGUUUUCAUGAGGAUUAGAGGAAGUUGAUAUGGAUAUAUUUAAAGAUUAUUUGGUUGAUCUGGAAAUGUUUACAGUUCUCUUCUUGUGUGUAUUUCUAGACCCAUAUACACUGACGGAUCCAGCUUCCGACAUGAACACUGGCUAAUACAGCAAAAAAACAAAAAAAUUACAUAUAAAAAAAUUUUUACUAAAUUUUUUUUCUUUUUUUUUUUUUUUAAAGGGAAUUUGGGGCGGACGGACGGACGGACGGACAGACUGUAACACUGACCUGCCCGUCCUUGAAUCCACCUCUGCCCGUAUACUGAUUUCAGCUGGACAACUUAAAAUGAUUUCAGUUGAGAUUAACCUUUGUUCAUGUGUAAAAUAACUUAGACCAACUGAUUUAGGUUCUGUAGUGUUGGUCUUCCCGUUAAUCAUUGCUUUCACUUGUAAUUUAACAAUGUUCAUAUUUAUUCAAAUUUCUCAAAUAACAUACGUUUUCACAUUCAUACUUGCAACUUUUAACCAUUUUGUAUCAUUGUUUGUUGAUGAAUGUAGUAGAGAUGAUUGAAAUGAAACACUUAUUAAACGUCACUAUGCAUUUUUCCAUCUUAAAACUUAGAUCUUCAUUAUUCCUACCGUCAGCCAUGGAACCCAUAUUAGUCUAUUCACAAUCCUUGACAACAUUACGAGACUUUCAUACGCGCAAUCAGAUCAACCUUUAUGGUUACAACUAUCUGUUAAAAGAAAUACUAGCAUAUCAAAAAUGUUUGUGACCUUAUGUAGAUUUCAUUUCAUCAAUAUAUGAGGCAGUGACUUUAAUGUUCAUUUCAUCAAUACUUGUUAAAUUUAUUCAUGUUUUAAAUGUUACUAGAGCCUCAUGACUUUUCUCAAUCAAUUUUAUUUUACAUUGUGCUUAAUCUAGUAUUAUUAUUAUUAUUAUUUGGUAGUUUUUUAACUAAAAAGAAUAUUUUUCAUUUUAUUUUAAUCAGUGGUAAAUUUAUUGUUCUGGUGGAUUCUCUGAAAACAUCUACCCCAUGAAGAGUCAGGUUGUUUUGAUUUUGACAGUAUUUCUCAAUGCACAAGUAAAUCAUAUAAUACUGUCAUUCGCCAACAACAAAAUUGAAGAUAGAUAGAUAGGAUGAAUCGAGUUCAAACUGUAAGUAUUGAUCAUCUUAAAAGGGUAAGGCCCUGUUCUCUUUACCGUUUUCGGGCCGUUUUCUGUUUUCGAUUUUUCAAAACGGUGAAAACGUGUUCUCUUUCCCGUUUUCGAAAACGAAUUUUCGAAAACGAAAAAAAAUUUGUGAAGAAAACACAAAACGACAUUUUUGUCGUUUUGGGCGUUUUCAGUGUAAAACUUGAAAAAACUGAAAACGCGGGAAACACCUUUUUUUUUUUUUUUUCGGAGGUGGUAUGGUGAUUCUCAAAAUUUCAAAAAAAAAAAAAAUUAAAAAUUAUUAUAUAUAUAUAUAUAUAAUUUUUUUUUUUUUUUUUUGGGGGAUUUUUAAGGCUUCUAUUUCAAAUGAAGAACAUAUUAAUGUUUUUGAUUCUGAAUUACAUGGAAGUUUUGACCUAUCGAAUGGUAACUACUGUAUAUGUAUUACUGACAUGCAACUAUUGUAAACAUUGUGGUGCAUGCAAAUUUUUUCGAGAAACUAAAGGUUUUUGUUGCUCUAAUGGAAAAUUGAAACUUUUUACGCCUGAUUCACUUAUAACAAGUUUAAUGGUACCAUUCCAGUUGCUAGCAACUCAACGUUUGGUUUGGACAUGCUACUUAAUGCUAGACACUUCUGAAUUCUCUCUUAGAGUUAUAAAGCGUUUAGAAUUAUGUUUCACCUUCGUUAUUGCUUUCUCCAUUCACAAGAAGUGAUUUUCAUUGUUUACAACCAUUUGUCAAAUAAUCAACUUUCUGGAUCUAUCCCCAAUCAACUGUUCAGUUCAAACAUGAAGCUAAUACACAAGUUAUCAGUGGGCUGCCUAUGCCUGAUUCUAUUUCUUUUACUUAGUUGAUGAAAACUGAUAAUAUCUAUAAAUAAGAUGUCAUAGAAUUUGUAUAUUUUCUUUCGAAUAAAUAGAAAGAUAUAUCCUUAUGUUAUCUUUAUCAAAUAGGUUUCUAACUUUUACUUCAUUUCACCGUCUUAUUAGCCCUUUUCUUUUUUCACAAGAAUUGCAGUUUACUCAAUUUCUUUGCGAAUUCUAUUGGAAAUAUGCUUUCACAAAGAGAAGAAUGGAGAAGAAACAAAAGGCAAAACCAAGAAAUCAAGGACAAUAAUGAAAAAAUAAAAAAGUUUGAAAAUUAAAUUGAAAUUAUUGAAAUUAAGAUAAAUUAAAGUUUGGCGACCCAAUUAAAACUUAGUUUCGAGUUUAGUUACUACAGAUGAAAUUUACCCUUGUACAAUGUAUUGCAGGUAGUUCCUACAAAGGACUGGACUAAUGACGUAUAUAAUACUUAAAUUCUUGAUGUAGAUACUACAAAGUUGGUUCUCAUCCUUCAGAAACUAGAGUGUAAUAAUCCGUCAACAAAAGAAUCACCCUGAGAUGAUCAUUUUAUGGCUAUUAAGAACGAAUUAAAUAAGCUAGUUCUAUUUCUCAAUCUCUCUUACUUGAUCCUAUGGAACCAAGGUCCAAAAGAUUUAAAAAACCAAUCAUUUACAACCACUGAUAAAGGAUUCCUCAAAAGUUAAGAAUUAGAAAACUUUUUUAGAAAUCAAAUGGAUUCGAUCUUAUACAUACGCGAGGAAGAUAACAAAAAUAGAAAGACAAUGAUCAAUCUAGAAUAUGCGAACUUGUUUAAGAACCCACAAAUCAAUACAAUUGGUUAAGCUUAAAAGGUGCUUAUACACUCUUUAUUCUAUCAAGACCAAUAUUUCUCAAACAAAAACUGCCCAAGAAAAAAAUUUGCCAUCAUCACAUUUACCUCGAGUUACAAACUUCUUCUAUCCUCGGAAGAGGUAAGUAAGAUAACGAUAUUUUCCAGCAAAAAACUAUUCAGUAAAAUUAGGCCAACUAUCCAUUGAAAAACUUUUAAAUGGUUGGUUAUGUGAUUGAAACUACUUAAUUGAUAUUUAUUUCUUUAAGUAAACAUUUCUUUGCAAGUAACUUUUUCUUUUCCUAGCUAGGAGGAUGUGGGAGACUUUCAUCUAAAGAAUCCCUUAGGCUUCACUCCUACAAAUUUAAAGUGUGAUUGUCUGCCUCCCGGGACACAUCCGAGUUGGUGGAACAAUUGCAUUGGUAGGCUCACAAACCUAGCGUGGAGGGUUCGAUUCCUGGAAGGCAGCAUCUUGGAAGGGGGAUUUAUCUCGAAGGCAAGGUGCUGGAAGGCAGUGGAGAGAGCUCUCUUUGGAGAAGGAGUAUAAGUCAUACAGGAACCUGGAAGCCAACAAGGGCACAACCCGCGAUUAACUUCCUCAAGCUAAUGAGGGGCCGGAGGCUUGAGAUCCAGGAAUUAGUCUGGUGAAGCUGUGAUACCUGGGUAUCAAAAAAAAAAGUGUGAUUGCACUUUGGCCUGUUUGUGAAGGAAACAUCAACUUAGUGACCCCAACACCAACUUUAUGUUUUGUCACUCUCAAGUUCAACUACCUGCUGGGCUUAUAAAAUCUUGCGUCGUCUAGCAAUAUCACGAACCACCUUUUCUCGUUCCUCCUCUCCUUCUUCCUCUUCUUCUCCUCCUUCCAUAUUUCAAAACUUAGGGAAGAUUUUGUGUGAAAUGAAAGCCAUGGACUGGUUUUCUUGGCUAUCAAAAAUUGGCCUUGAUCCUGUUGAGACCGAUUGACCAAUAAUUCAGGAAUUGAAAUUUAACGAAUACAACUUGUUGUAAUUGAAGUAGUUAUCAAGAUCAUGAAAAACCACGGACAAGAUUAAAGUAAAGAAAUAAAAGAACUGUCAGAGGAACGAUGUUAUUUUAUUCAAUCAAUGAAAGGAGAGAAUUACAACAAUAAUGGUUUCUUAACAAUACUGAAAGAUGAGCCUUGUAUUUAAAGUAUAAAAUCUAGUCCUAAAAAAGUCCCAAAAAAAGGUAAGAAAUUUAAUACAAUUUAGACUCCUAUUUGAGUCACACUUCUAACAAUCUCCACCUUGACUCAAAUUCCGGUGCAACGAACGAAACUCCAAAAUUUCUCCACCUUGAGAAAUAAUCCGUCUGCAUUAGAAUGAACUGACCAAUCUCCUCAACGCAAUAACCAAACUCUCCACGAUAACAGGUUCCCCCGUCCGGCGUCCACAAGCGACACCUGAACCCAAAACCGGGUUCCUAAAAUUCCUCCUGGAAUUAACAAUCACUCGACAGGGUCGAAGCACACCCUGUAGCAGAAACCACACCAAAUGCACAAUCAGAAGGUCCCUUGCCAAUAUUGUCACCUUCAAUGAUUUCUAAAGCAUUUCAGACAUCUCCAAAACUGUACCUACGCUCCAUGAGUCCAUUGACAUUACAAGAACACAGUGUACCCGCUAAAAUUGGUGGCAAAGCGGAAUCACCAACACUCCCUUGAGCAAAGUUCUUAAUUGACCUAGAGCCAAACCCGAGAGGUACUGUACCAAAUUGAAUGUCCACCACGGUACUAAACUUGUCCAAAUGUCUCUGAAUUGGUUCUGAGCUCCCCUACAAGAUGUACAAUUGGGAUUUCCUCCGUCCCUCCAAUACAACCCGGACACCCCUUCGAACCUUCAAUACUCCACCUCCACCAGAAAAUUUGUACCCUUUUUCAUCCAAAGUACUCAGUGAUAUGAGAUUCUUUGUCAAGUUUGGAAUAUGGCGAACCUGAUCAAGUGUCCUCACUGUUCCAUCUUGUAGCCUCAAUCUAACCCGACUGAUUCCUGCAACUCGGCAAGAUUGGUUGUUUCCCAUGACAACUCCACAUUGCUUCACCGUCUCAUAUGUUUGAAACAAAUCCCUAUUGUGACACAUAUGAUACGAAUAAGCAGAAUCAAGAAUCCACUCCUCAGGUUUGGAUUCCCCAUUAGAUACAGCCAACAUCACAUAUCCAUCAUCACAAAAAUUUUCAGCAAUAUUAGUCUCGUUCGAAUUACUUGAUUGCCCCGCAUGAUUUGCAUGUAAAUCACCUUUACCCUGCAACUUGUCACAAUCUUUCUUGAUGUGUCAUUUCCUCUUGCAGUAAUAACAAUACACAUUGCUAUACUUCACCUUCGAUCUACCCCUCCGUCAAUUACCAUGAGUAAUAAGAGCAUCCCCACUCCUAGAUACAGGAUCUCCAACCAACAACUCCAUCUUCUUCUUUGAGAACAAGGCAUCGUAUACCUCCUCAACGGAUAACGUGUCACGACUAUAUAGAAUAGUGUCACGAAAUGACGAAAAAGAAUUGGGUAGCGAACACAACAGGACUAAGGCUAGAUCCUCUUCAUCAUAUUUACCUCCAACGUCUCCAAAUCUGUAACGAUCUCCUUGAACAUAGCAAGGUGGUCCUGCAGUGACCCUCCUUCCGCCAUGCGAUGAGAAUACAACCUCUGCUUUAGAGUCAGUUUGCUCGUCAAACUCUUUGUCAUGCACAACUGCUCCAACUUGAGCCACAAAGCAGCCGCUGUUUUCUCCUUCAAAACAUCUUGCAGCAAAUAGUUGGAUAAAUGAAGUUGGAUUUGCGCUAAAGCCUUCCGAUCCUUUCGUUGUUUCUCCUCCAUAGACAAGCUUGCUGGCAUCCUAUCAAAACCCAGCAAAGCAUCAUCAAGAUCCAUCUGCGUCAACACAACUCUCACAUUUACUUGCCACAGCGAAAAUCUUGUAUUGCGAUCCAAUAGCAGAAUUUCAUACUUCAACGAAUUCAUCUCUAAAAAAAUCCCAAUCAAAUCACGAAGAACUUACAACUUGCAACACCCAAAAUUGAAAACUACCGAACGUGCAAGGGGCAAAAUAGUCCAGAACCACAAUUUUUCCCAAAACUGAAAUUGGACACCACCACAAGGUCCGUCUCGUCGUCUGGAGAAAGCUGCCUGAAGACACCGUCGUCGGAAAACGCCUCACGCGCCGCCACUCGCUCGCCGGAGUUCCACCGCCGACGACUGGUCGGAAAACAUGCCGACGACCUGUGACCCUUUCUAGACCGUUUUUGCCUGCUGAGUCCACUGAUGGUGUUCGUUUCUCCAAAUUCUUUCUGGUUUGACCAGAAAAAGCAAAAACAGAUUCGGCAACAAAUCAAAAAGUUGGACAGAUUCAUUUUCUGAUUUUCUGGUAAUUUUCAGACCAUUUUACGAUCAGUUUCAGGCCAAAAUUCCACCAAUAACCCCACUCUAAUACCACUUGUUGAGACCGAUUCACCAAUAAUACAGGAAUUGAGAUUUAAUGAAUACAACUUGUUGUAAUUGAAAUAAUUAACAAGAUCACGAAAAACCAUGGACAAGAUUAAAGUAAAGAAAUAAAAGAACUGGCAGAGGAACGAUGUUAUUUUAUUCAGUCAAUGAAAGGAAAGAAUUACAACAAUAAUGGCUUCUUAACAAUACUGAAAAAGGAGCCUUGUAUUUAUAGUAUAAAAUCUAGCCUUAAAAGAGUCCCCAAAAAAGGUAAGAAAUCUAAUGCAAUUUAGACUCCUAUUUGAGUCACACUUCUAACAGAUCCUUCUUUCCUCAGUACGCCAUAAGUUUUGUUCAAAAUGAACUUCAACAAGAUGAUAUAGCUUAUUUUAGUCAUGGCUUGCUACAGAGCAUGAGAAGUACUGUGGCAAAACAUCGGCUCAAGAUUCUCAAGCUUGCUAUGAAAGAAAAGAGCUGGAGAAUACACCCAAUGUUAUGGUUCAUUUUCACCAUCAAGCAUAACAAGGCAUUUCUUGCUAAGCAUGUUCCGUGUUUGGUUCAUAAUGAAAAUUCGGCUCUUGUACCGAAAAGGAAUUACAGUUUGAGAUGGAAGGUAUCUAUGCUGCAGAGGAACAAAAGUUGAGAACAACGAUGCAAAAAAAUAAGCAAAUGAUGCUAACAAAUGUAGAUUCUGUUGCAGAGUCUGGCCAAAAGAUUUUGAUGCUCACAAAUGGGAGCCCCUCGGUGGACUCUCAAAGCUCCGACUUAGACAGAAACUCGCAUAUCACAAAAAAGACGUGGGGUCAUGAAAAAAUGGACAGCGAUGAUGGUCGGGAUUGGUUGAGUAGUGUCGAAGAAAUCACGUGGAAUACAAUGUUUCAAAAUUUGGAACCGACAUAAUUUCCCUUGUAAUAGUAAUAGAAAUAAAAUUUUUUGGCCAUGUUCUUUAACCAGAAUUUCAGCUAUGGGAUUUGUAUUUAGUCCUCACUGGUGCAGUAUACAAUUUUAUUUCUCAUGUGUGUCCAAUAUAUGUUCAAUUUUUUCCCUUUCCAACCCAUAAAUACAAGAAUACAAGAGAAAUGUUCAUCAAAAUAAUAAGAACAAAGAGAGCCAAAUCAAGAGGAUAGAAUCUGAAUACUAAAAUNNNNNNNNNNNNNNNNNNNNNNNNNNNNNNNNNNNNNNNNNNNNNNNNNNNNNNNNNNNNNNNNNNNNNNNNNNNNNNNNNNNNNNNNNNNNNNNNNNNNNNNNNNNNNNNNNNNNNNNNNNNNNNNNNNNNNNNNNNNNNNNNNNNNNNNNNNNNNNNNNNNNNNNNNNNNAGGUUUUUGCAGGUUUCACAUUUUAAAAAUAAAAUAAAAUUGUUGUAAAAUGAUUCAAUGAAGAAGAAGAAGAAGAAAAAGAAGAAAAGAACACUUCAUAACUGCUCGCCUGCUCCCUUUGGAUCUUUUUGGAGAAAUCACAAAUUUUUAAUCAACACAUCUAAUAUUGAAAUCUAAAAAUUGGAAAGAACUUUGAAGUUUUGCCUCAGAUACAUACCUAAUCUAUAUUAGGGUUUCGACGUUGGACAUAUGUUUGGCCAAUUCAAUUUCAUCACUUAUAUUCCAUAUGUAAUAAAUAGUAGAUAAUGGGUUUUAAAUUGAUAUUUUAAUUAAUAAUUUUUUUUAACAUAAUAUAUAAAUUUAUUUAUUAUUUUAAAUCCAAGACAACCCUAGUUCGACCUUGGUUCGACCAUUUGACUCUUGACCUUUAACUUUUUCGGGUAGAUGACAGGGUCAGUUUUCAAAACAUUGCUUGAAACACAUUAAAAAAAUUUAAGAACAUAAAGUAAUUAUUCAGAUAAAAGGAAGCCUAAGGCAGUCAAAACAAGGGGAUGCUGUACUUCCAAGAUUGAAAUCGUAUAUAAUAACCAUCACAGUCGUAAGAAAGAGCAUCGUGAUUACCUUACUAAGUAUUCGGAAGCAAUUCCUGCCCCAAGGCGACCUAAAAAAUUGGAAAAACUGAACAAACUUAACAAUAUUGUCGUAUCAUUCACACCAUGCGAAACUCCAAUCUGGGCCAAAUUAUUAAGGACAGUUACUCCAGAGCCAA
rnacentral:lncRNA from 1 species